CAGAUCCGUGAGGCUGUCUCCAAUGAAAAUCACAAACUUGUCGUCCGGAGCGUGUAGAAUCUCACGAAACAUCGUCUCUUCCUUGUCAAUCGGUGUCUCGACGCGUCUGAUCAAGCUCCCGGUUGUAAAGUUCCCAUCGUUUUCGAGUUCGUUGGAAUGGACAGGAACAUUGGUGAUAUUCUCUGGCAUUGCAAGAGUAAGAACAACGAAAAGGAACAAAACUCGUUUCACCUUUGGAGAAAGCUGCUUCGAUGAAGGUCCGGCUCCAGCAAACCGAGAGGAUUUGACAAGAGAUUUUGGAACUUAGCCUGCAAAGCACACUGGCACAGCCAGCUUGAAGUGCCAUGUUUUGUCCGGCUUGCUUGAUAUCAUCGAUCUUAAUGCCUUGCAAAACGCGGGAGGCGUCGAUUUUCGCGUUCCCUUGCUUCUCAAACUCGGAAAGAACUUGGAGAGCCUCUUUGAUCGCAUCGUAGUCGUACUCUUCACACAAAGAAAAACAAUAUGGUCAGUUCUUUUUAACAUUUACGAAACAAAGUCUACCAUUUUUCUCGCGACCACCACGAAGAACAACUUCUUCCAGGAGUUUGGAGUAGUCCCUGAAAUACUCGUCCGAGAGGCUGCUCCAUUUCCUCCUUACAUUUGGAUCGACCGCCAUAGCCAGCUCCGCUAGAACUGGGGAUGAAUCAGAGACGGUGCAAGUAGAAUCAAAAUCAGAGAUGAGGACGAAGUUGCGAUCCUUGAGUGCUACACUCUCUAGCAGCGGGACAAAAGCGUUGCUGCCACGCACUUCCUGGGCAUCGAAGAAGCUCACCUCGUACGCUAUGGCACGGUGAUACAAACUUUGCAUACUCUGAAAUUCCGCUGCCGUAGUCUCUUGAGCUUCCGAGAGGCUAUCGAGAAGCUGCUCGAGUCGAGUAGCAGCAGUCUGCCAAGACAAGCUAGCUCAGAACUAGAUUCAAACAUAAACAUCCAAGAACAAACUGAUUUUACCUCGAAACCAGGCGACGAGUAAGUCGAAAUCCAGUCGCGAUAUGGAUGAUUUUCUCGAGAGAAAACUCUCGUCUCUUGGCCUAGGAAAGCGUAGAGACGCAUGCACGGAGCCAUUGCUGCCAGAGCGAGCAUCGGCACCUUAGUUUUCUCGCAUUCAAUUUUCUUCCCAGCAGCCACUGCGAGGAGAAAAUCUGUGUAAGCACAAGUUGCUGGCGAUGGUGGUGUAUGAUCGAAGUUCCAAGCCUGCAAGAAGGCAAAUUCUUACAAAUCAAAAGACGAAAAAAAACAGAAAAGAAAAGAAAAGCUUUGGAAGAGACCUUCAUGAGGGAAGAAUGGAGCUCAAGUUCCUCGUACACAGCCUGUUGGAGCUUGCAAAUCUCAGAUUUAACUUCUCGAUCAUCGCUGCGCUCUAUGGCCAAACCAUAGCUAAAAGAAAAAUGUGAAGAACAACAGGAAAAUUCUGUCGAUUGAGCUUACGCUUUCGCGAAUGCCGUCAGGAAGAAGGAAUCCUGCGCUAUGAAUCGCUGGAAGCUGUGAAGAUCCAGCGUCCCAGCAGCGAUGGACACCACAAAUGGAUGAUACAGACAUACCAUUGCCUCGCGCUUGGAUUGCUGCCACAAGCGCUUUGAAAUGGAUGGCUCCAUCGCCUGGGCGCUUGCCAAGCUCCUCAAUCCUCUGGCCACUACAUUUCUAAGCAAACACGACAUUACCUAAACUCUAUGGGAAUAUUUCUCAACAAAUAAAGCGAAUAUGCUAAAAAUAACCUCAUACCUUAAAGAAUAUUCUAUUCGAAAAACUGAAUAUGCUAAAAUUAGAUUUUUAAAAAACCUUAGAGCUUGUCAAUCAUCUUGUUCAAGGAGGAGGUCAUCUCUUGAAUGGCGUGAACCAUGGCCUCGAGGUGUGAUUCGUGCUUCUCGCACAUCCUCUCUUGCAUCUGGAUCACGAUCUUGGUGUUCUUCUCCAAGAUCGCCUCGAGCCUGUCCAUGCUAUCCUCCGCCGGCGCCGGCUUGGGCCGCUUCCUCUUCCCGGACGAAGAAAUCCCCUGCUCGUCGUUGGACGAUGGAGCUACAAGUUCGCGAUCAAUCACGAAUCAAACCAAGAGAAGAACUUGAGCUCACCGUUUGGGAUCUGGAGCAAUGGAGGACACAAAUCCCCGGCCUGCAAGAACGCGGCAGCGGCGUGAUCGUGAGCGCCAUCGUCCACCUGCGGCUGCCGCUUGAAGUGAUGGUGCUGCUGGUGGACGAUCCUCUCCGAAUCAUACACCGUGGGAGGCACUCCAGGCCUGUUGGCGAGGAAGUGAUCCAGCUCCUCGAAGAUAUCCUUGUCGAAAACCGGAGGAACGAUGAGCUUGUUCUCGCGCUUCUCCUCCACGGACAUGAGCCAGUAGGAUUGCCGCGAGUUCCUGUUCUGCCAAUCCUUGACUCUCUUGUAGUCUCGGACGAUGUUCUGCCAGCGCUUGCGGCACUGCGAUGCGUCGCGGACCACUCCAGCGUCCUCGCAUUUCUUGGAGAUCCUCUUCCACUUCUGCUCCUUGUUGACGAUCUGGCCGCGGCUCGCCGCCUCGGCCACCUCCUGCUCGUAGACGCGCUUGGCCUGGACGAGCGUGAUGGUCUCGUCCUUGAGCCAGCGCGAGGCGCGCGUGGAUCGCAGCGCGACCUCGGCGCCCUCCAUCGCGUCGUGGAGAUGAUCCUGGGGGAUCGGCGUAGCGCAGGAAUCGUCGUCCAUGAUCUGAGAAGCAAGAGAGAGGAUUAUCUGGAGCGAAAUAUUUCGAGAAGUGCUCGAAGAAAUUCCUGGCUCCAGCGACGAUGCAAAUGCGCGAAUUGUAUAGCGAGAGAAUGCUCCAUCCAAGAAUCUAUGGAUCUAAGCUAGGGUUCUUCCGGCGCUCGGCAGUGGCCAUACCUCAAACACUCGCCCUAGAAACGGCCAUGGGAGGCCAUUGGCUCGCGGAGCUUGCCGAGAGACUGGUGUCCUCCACGCAGAUUGCGCCUCGCUCCCUUUAGACCGAGACUUCCAGAAUUAGGGCACGAAAGGGGGAGAUUAUUUCACAUUAUUCCAUCAAAACGUUUUACAAAACAAAAUUUUUUCCAUCCAGUUCGGUUUCUUCGUUUAGUUCACGACAUCGAACACGAGUCUCCGCGCCUUCAUGGGAGCGAACCUCCAUCUCUUGGUGUAGGUAAUUCCGAAGAACAUUAGGACUAUAGCGAACAACCACUUGGAUCCACUCUAGAAAACCAAAGCCAAGAGAGCACCAUCAGUGACUUAAGAUCGAAGAACGAGAAGAGUGAAAGAUUCACUCACCAGUUUGCGUUCGUCCAUCUCUGGCUCUGCUGCCCAGGCGAGGAAGCAAACCACAUCUUUGGCCAUCUGAUAGAUACGAGCAAGAGAAAGUUAGCCAAGAUUUUUCGCAGAGAUCAUAGAAACCUGAGAUGCAGUCGCGGGAGUCCCGUCCUCGUACUCAACAGCCCCAUCCAUCAAAAUCUGUGGCAUUGCAAUGGCACCCCCGGGGAAGUAUGGAUUGUAGUGAAGUCCGUCUCUGAUCUAUCAAAAGGUAAAGAAAGAAAAAAGCUUCAUUCCGGAAAAAAAAUCUAGCUUACCUUGACUCCAGCGGGAGGCUCGCGAUAGCCAGUGAGCAAAGAGAAAACGUAGUCAUCACCACUGAACCUGGCCUGCAAGAAGAAACGCGCAAAACUUGAAGAAAGAAACAAAGAAAGCGUCUAGCGUGUACCUUCGUCAUCAAGCUCAAGUCUGGAGGAUACGCUCCUCCAUUCGCUGCUCGAGCAGCUUGCUCAUUCGGAUAUGGAGCUGGCAGGAAAUCGUUGGGUCUGCCGGGGCGAGUGAACAUCUCCCCCUCAUCGUUGGGCCCAUCAGUCACCUCAAUCUCGGCCGACAUAGCCUUCACCUCCUCCUCCGUGUAAGCCACACCGAUAAGAUGGCGGUAUGAGAUGUAUUGCAUGCUGUGGCACGCAGCACAGACUUGGGCAUAGACUUGAUGCCCGCGACGGAUCCUAUCAAAAAAUGUAGGAAAGAAAAAGGUGAGCAAAUCUUGAGAUUAAAAAAAAGAAAGAACUUACGAUGCGUGAUCCUGUGCCUCGAAAAUCCCAUUGUAAGGCCACUUGUAUGAUGGCGGGGGCAAGCCAUGAUCCGCCUCAUCGGCAUAGACGUAGCCAGCAGCAGCAAACACGCUCGUUGCCGCGGCUCCCAAGAGCGCGAGGCCAUUGCGGAGAUUAUGCCCCCGUUCUUCGUCUUGGAGCUUGGAUGACGCUGCUAAAACCCCAGCAGUCUGGAAAUCCCCAAAAAGAUCGCAUUGCAUCAGAUCCACUGCCAUUGCCCGCCACUGGGAUUACACCACAAACCUUGCUCGCAGCUUGGCCAUCUUGAGCCAGUAGUGUCGCGCGCGCUCCAAGAAUCCGAUUGAAAAGAGAGCGCCGGGCCGCCGCCAUGACCUCGCCCAAUGCGAGUGAGAGCGUAGUUAGCCCUAAGAAUGUGAGAACAUAUGCCGUUUAAUGAUCACAUAUUCUGCUUUAGAACCGCACAUUCCGUUUAGAGAAGAAUAUGCGUUUCGUGUUCUAGGGUUUCGCCUUCGCGGGAUGCCGGUGCCCGAGGAGAGAGCUGCCGCCGCCAUUGCUCAAGCAUGCGUUGCCCUGCGGCGACGCAAGGCCGUCGAGGAAGGAGCUCAUGGAUCGCUGGUCGCGGCGCUCGAUCGGGCGCUCACGAAUCAGGUUCGAUUUCGCGAUUGUUUCUGUGGCAUCUUAGCUCAAGAGGGCGCGGCAUUGAAAUUCAGGGCACGGAGAUCCAGGAGAAGAUGGAAUCUCUUCAGCAGGAGUUGUCCCAGAGCUACAAAACCCAGGCUCAUGUGUCGGAGCAGCUCGUCGUAGAGAUGCAAACGGCGCAAGCUCUACGAGCGCAACUGGCCGAGAAGGACGCGCUUGUUUUGGAGAUCCAACACGAGCUAAGCUCCGCGAGGUACUUGGUCACUCUUGAAUCGAUCAUUUCUUAUGUAGCUCUUGCUAUCUCCAUCCAUUCGCUCCACAAAAGCUUGACAUGAGUUUUAACAUCCUACAGGACAUGGCAGGGCGCGUAUAAGCCAAUUGGAGAAGGACUUUGAAGCAAAGGAGAACGCUGUUCUUGUGCUCGUCGAGGAGCUCACACAGCUAAAGCUCCGAGUGAAAGAGCUCGAAUCGAGCCUCCAAGCCAUAGAGGCUGAGAACAAUAUGCUCGUUGAUCGCUGGAUGACGCAGAAAAUGCAAGACGCUGAUCGACUUAAUGAGGUAUGAACUUGCGUUUUUCUUCCAGCUUUUGCUAACUUGCUUCUUUCAUUUUGCUUCAAGGCUAACGCCAUGUAUGCUGACAUGAUGGAACGCUGCAAGAUCAACAGCCUUGCCGAGCUAGCGAAGCUCCAAGUCGACGGCAUUGUAAGGCACUCGGAAGCUGGCGCCGAGAGCUACAUGACGCUGGGCGCGCCGAGCAAAGUCCGCCACACACUUCGUGCUCACGACAAGGGAGGCUGCGCCGCCAUCAUCUUCGAGCACAGCAGCGACACCCUCCUCACAGCCGGGCACGACGGCAUCGUAAAGUUCUGGGACACUCAGCGCGGAGGAACUCCCACGAAAACUCUCACCGGCGCUCUCGGCUCACUACUGGACUUGGCACUCACCCCGGAGAACAACAUGGUUCUCGGCGGCUGCAGCGAUCACAAGCUCUACCUCUGGGACUCCCGCUCCGGCCGAGUGAAGCACGUCCUCACAGGCCACACCGAGAAAGUCACCUCCGUGGACAUCAGCAACGCGAGAGCCGCGAGCACGGCCUCGGACAGGACCAUCAAGACUUGGGACCUCCAAACGGGCUACAGCCUCCACACGAUGAUCUUCCACAGCAACUGCAACUCUCUCUGCAUCUCCUCCGACGGCUCAGCGAUUUGCUCCGGCCACACGGACGGGAUCUUGCGCUUCUGGGACACCCGAACAGGGAAGCUGGCCAAGGAGCUCACGGCUCACGAGCCACAGGCCAUAACUUCGGUGUCGCUGUCCCGGAGUGGCUUGACGGUGCUCACCAGCGGCAAGGACAACGUCCUCAAGCUCUUCGACGUGAGGAGCUUGGAGCUCAAGGCGACUUUCAGGGGGCCGGGCUACACGGUGGCGACGAGCUUGAGCCGAUCGUGCUUGAGCCGGGACGAGAACUAUGUGGCGGCGGGCUCCGGCGAUGGAAGCGUUUGUAUCUGGAAUCGCCGCUCCUGGGAGGUGGAGAGCGUGCUCAAAGGCGGGCAUGGGAGCGCGGUGGUGGCGUGUGCUUGGAGCCCAGCCAGUAAGUCACUGGCCUCGGCCGAUAGAAAUGGUGUGGUGUGUGUGUGGGAGUGAAAAUGUGGUAGCCGGGAAGGGGAUAUUCCUGCGCCGCUGGUGGAAUAUGCGAAUUCACGAGUCCAUUUCUAACUAGUAGGAAUGCGUUAGCGGCGAGGGGAGUUAGGGUAUUCGCAGGAGCAACGAUGGAUCAAUCCAUAAGGUUUGGCCUAUGGUUUUCAGUCACUGAUUUUCUCUUUUACUUGAAAACUGUAAGAACGGGAGAUAUGAACAAAAGCAAUCAGAUUUUUUAGACAAAUGUAAGCAGAUACAAAAUUUGUUUGCUUUUUCCUCCCGUACUUCUAUUUUUCAAAGAGUAAACGACGUUCUUAACGUUGUCACGCUGAUUUUGUAUUAUCUACUCUGUCUCUUGCAUGAACCAAUGUAUAUUUGCUUCUCCAUACAGAGAUGCAAAUUUACAUUGGUUCAUGCAGCAAAGACAAAACAACUAUCAGAAGAAGAAGAAGAAAGAAAAUGAAAGUCACUUGGGAUAAUGUAUAACCAUGUUUGCUUGCAUCCAAAUUGCAAGUAAUUUCUGUUCUCGUUGAGCUCAACUUGUGUGAUCUUUUAACAAAUGUGCCACCCCUAAGAUCAACCGAGCUUACAUCAAGUUCUGUGGUUAAAACCACUCAGAAUACUAACGUUUUUCCAACAAUUUAUGCGUCACCGCCUGGAAAUCGGGCACUGCACAACUCCAUUGGACAACAGAGAAUUUAGAGUACAAGUUUGUGAGAAUCUUACAUGUUUGCACUGAGGCGAUGUGAUGGAAAAGAACCUCUGCCAGAUCUUAUGUCCAUUCUAACAGUUCGAUGUCACAGUUUUCUCGAACUUUCCAGCCAAGCAGAUCGGCACCAAUCUUAGCUUUUAAUCCUGGGUUUAACCGGCGUUUAUGCCUGGCGGAAUGUUCUUCCACCGUUAAACGGAUAUUCCUGCUGGUGGAAUAUGCGAAUUCACGAGACACUGGGUUUUAGUAAAAGACUAGGUUCAUAUCGAGUCGUCCAUUUCUAAUCCCUCCCUCUCCUCGGCUUUGAAUGCGUCGAUGCGCGGCCAGGGCGAGCGAAUGCGCAGCGGCGAGUGGAGUUAGGGCAUUCGCAGCGAGGAGCAGCGGGCUAUGAAGCUGGAUUCGGCAUCGCUCGAUCCAUGAGGUGAGUGAGGCGGCUCUGUUUGGGGGGGGGGGGGCGGGGGGAUUUUGUUAUUUGGAGUGGAAUUCGUGGCUUCUCGGGAGGCGCGCUGUGGAAAUAUCGCCCUCUCAAGAUCCAGCCGGGGCGCAUUGAUCGUGAGAUCACGAAAUUCGUUCAUCAGUAGCAUCUGGAAAGAGCUUUUCCGUAUAGUUUUUUUUUUCUUUUUUUCGCUCUUACAGUGGGGGAUGGGGACGUUUGCAAUUUGCAUGCUUUGUAUGACGAGACAAGGGAUUUUAUUUUUUUUAUUCUCAUGCUUUAGUCUGUGGUUGGUUUUGACUGGAUUUCUUUAUGGUUCCUCUUGCAAUGACAGAUAUGAGAGUUUAGUAGUGGAAUGCACGAGUUGAGUUGUUGAGGAUGGGAUCAUGUUGCUCGGAUAUGAGUGGAGGUAUGGACGCCGUGGGUGGAAUGGACGUGUUGAAUCUAGACAAAGACACGGAGACUGCUGUUCCUUCUGACUUCCUUUCUGGAACGCGGGGUGUACCAGCGGAUGUACAGGUUCAAGUAGCAAGUUUUUUGUUUAUGCAUUCCUUCUUUGCAUAUUGAUCGUUGUGCUGCUUUUAUGUUUACAGUUGUGGAUCUCGGCUUCAAAGCUGCGAGACAAAGAUUUUCUUUCAAAGGUAUUUGACAGGGAUUUUUUCACCACUAAGAACUUUCUUGUUCUUUGAUUUUUAGAGUGAUCCUCUGGCUGUUGCUUUCAUAAGGAAAGACGGGGUGCUGGAAGAAGUAGGACGAACGGAAGUUGUAUCAAACACUUUGAAUCCGUCGUGGGUGACAGACAUAAAGGUCUCAUACAGUUUUCAAGACAUUCAGCAGCUACUGUAAGAAAACCAAUUCGUUUUGUUUCAAGGAUUGACAUGUUUGUCCAGGUUUCGAGUUUAUGACAUUGAUACAAAGUAUGCUGGAGUAAAUCCACAGGUAAUUCUAAAAGCUAUUCCAAACACUGUGGUAUACCAUGUUUUUCAGGAACUUCCUCUUGAGGAGCAAGAUUUUUUGGGAGAGAUGACAUGUCUACUGGCAGAAGUAAGAAUGUGAUUGGAGAUAUAUGCAACUAAAUGAUAAAUUCUUUCGACAGGUCGUAGCUGCCCCUGGACAAUCUUUCAGCAGAUUAUUACAAGACAAGGUGGAUGGUGGAACAGAUAAAACUGGAGUGAAGAGCAUGGGAACGCUUACCAUCAAAGCAGAAGAGAUGCAGCACUCAAAGUCAAUUGUGGAACUUGUUCUACGAUGCUCGGAUCUAAAUAACAAAGACUUCUUCUCCAAGAGUGUAAGUCGAUAUCUUACUCGCUCAUUGUCUCACAGUAUUGUAAAUUGCAGGAUCCUUUUCUUAGGCUUUCAAGACUAAGGGAGGACGGAAGCAGUGUUCCUGUUUAUAAAUCUGAGGUCAAGAAAAACAAUCUCCAUCCGACAUGGAAGCUGGUCAGAACUACGCUGCAGCAACUGAAUAAUGGGAACAUGGUAAUUAUGAAUCUCGACCAGGUAAACUAAACAACAGAUAUUUUGCAGGAUCGGCCAUUGGUAGUUGAAUGCUUCAAUUAUAACGGAAAUGGUCGGCAUGACCUCAUUGGGUAAGCCAUUUAAUUUUGCAGUGUAUCUACCUAGUGGUGGUGUUUAAAAUUCCAUAUAGAUCUACGCAGGUGUCGCUUAACGAACUUCAAGCUUCAGCUGGUGGUACCGUUUCGUUUGAACUGAAGCGGCCUUCGGAUAAUCAGGUUCUAUUCAAUACAGUCGAUUUUCUAAACGUGUUGCUCACUGCACACCUUUAGGACCUUAUUUCGUUUUCGCAUGUUCUGGACUUGAGGCAUUUCAAUUUUCUUCACAGGCAGGUGGAAAGCUUCACGUAGAGGGAUGCAGGAUCUCGUCUGGCCACAGUUUUCUGGACUACCUACGUGGGGGUUGCCAGCUGAGUUUCAUGGUCGCAGUCGACUUUACAGGUUCGGAUGAUUCUAUUUCCCUGCCGUAUUGUGAUUUGAAUGUUUGGCUUUCCGGCAGCUUCUAAUGGCAAUCCUCAUCAGCAGGACUCGUUGCAUUACCUGGACCCUUCCGGAAAACCGAACUCUUACGAGAUUGUAAGCUAGCAAUCCAUGAUCAGAUACAGUGAAAUCAUGUUUGAAAACUGGCAGGCUAUUGAAUCCGUGGGUGAAGUUUUGUAUCACUACGAUUACGAUAAGCUUUUUGCUGCUUGGGGGUUUGGUGGCAAGCCGAUGAACAGUCCAGUUUCUCACUGUUUCAAUCUAAAUGGACACAGCGCUGAGGUAGGAGUCGUUGUACGUGCUGACAAGCGGGCUCACAUUCUGACACAGGUAGAUGGCGUCGAUGGAAUUCUUCGUGCCUAUUCACAAGCUCUAAAAAGCGUGGCUCUUGCGGGUCCAACGUUGUUCGCUCCGGUGGUAAACAUGGCAUCGUCGAUAGCGUCGGAGUAUAUUUCACAAGAGAAGCAAAAGUACUUCGUGCUCCUAAUCAUCACGGUAAAAUACAACCGAAAUCUUCCUGGUUGAGCACUAAUCUUUAUAAAUAGGACGGAGUGAUUACUGAUCUACAUCAAACCAUCAAUGCGAUUGUUAAUGCAGCCUCACUGCCACUCUCGAUUCUGAUUGUUGGCGUAGGAGGGGCAGAUUUUACAGAGAUGGAGGUAAAACUAUUGUCCUUCUGGGAAUGACGUGGCUGUGACGAUCAAGCAGGUUUUAGAUGCGGACAAGCGGAAGCUGCAGUCCUCAGACGGUCGACUUGCAGAAAGAGAUAUUGUGCAGUUUGUUCCGCUUCGCGACAUGGGAAGUAAGUUAGCUCAAAAAUAGAGUUUUUAUUAUCUGUCAAUGUAAUCCUUACGCUCUAACAGAUAAAACGAACCUGAGGCGAACCAUGCUUGCAGAGCUGCCAACGCAACUACUAGAAUUUAUGAGGUCACGCAGUAUCGUUCCAAACUUGAACCUGAGGUAGCUAUUGAUUUUUGGGUAUGAUUCUUUUAUCAUCUUUUAAAAUCUUUUAAUGGCCUUCUAAUAUUUACCAACAAAAGUUGAUUUUACUAAUGUAUAUAUGUGUUGUUUUUAAAUCUUUAGCAUCUAUUCACAUUAUUGGACUCAUACUUUUUUUGUUGAGUUGUAUGAAAAAUAUUAUGCAUACAAUCACAUUUAAAUUGCUUGUGUGUAUAAUAUUUUUGUGCUGGUUAUACAAUGUAUACAUGGGGUAUGACAGCUCAGUUUAUGACUUAUGUCAUGUGUAAAUUCAAAUUGAUUUUCAUAGAAAAUUCACCACAGUGAGAUAUAAUGACAUUAUAACAUCAUUCAUUAUACAAGACAAACUGCAAUCACCCAUUUUCAAAACUGCUACCUCAAACCUCUCCUAGAACUCCUUCAUUGCACCAAGAUCUUGAAUAGCUUACAACACAGAAUUAAUAUUAUUAUUUAACACUCCUGUGUUGCCAUUACUAAACUUUGGUAAGGACGUUGAGGUAGAAAUAGAUAAUAGACUUCAGACUUUGCAUUGGGCACAAUUUUGAAGCAAGAUAACCAUCCAAUAGCAUUCUUCUCGAAAAAGUUGAACAAGGCUCAACAGAAGUGGCUUACCCACGAAAAGGAAUUGUUUGCGGUAGUCAAAAUGUUCAAGGAGUGGUGACACUACCUUGGGAGACACUUCAAGGUUUACACGAACAAUGUGGCAAUGAAACACUUUUUGUCACAGCCCGACUUGAGAGGGAAACAGGGUCGGUGGGCCAAUGCUUUGGCUGAGUUUGAUUGCGAGAUUCUGUCCAAACCUGGGAAGAGCAACAUUGUGGCAGAUAUGCUAAGUUGAAGAGUGAGCUUGAAGUUGGCGAUAUCCAACACGACAGCAACCUUUUAGGACGAUGUAUGGACAGCAUAUGAGAACGAUGGUCUAGCACAAGAAGUGUUGCUGAGGAAUAUAGCGGCAUGGGAAGCUCACCAGAGAGGUGAGCUGCCAACGGAGGAAAAAACGGGUUAUGCGAAACGCAAUGGACUCAUCUAUUACAAACAAACGAGGGUGUAUGUUCCAAAAGGGGAACUAAGGAAGGUAGCCUUAGAAGAGUGUCAUGAUGGACCUCUUGUGGGGCACAGUAGAAUGCCCAAGAUGAUGGGUUUACUCAAGAGGAAGUAUCACUGACCAGAUAUGGCUAAAGACGUCCAAGACUAUAUAAAGACAUGCCCAACAUGUCAACAAGUCAAAGCCAUGAUUAAGGCGAGUGGGGGCUUGUUACAAAGCAUCCCAAUUCCAGAUUGUCCGUGGAAAUGUCUUACGAUGGACUUCAUCAUGGAGUGUGGGGAAGGCCAAAAGAAAUUAUCUCAGAUCAAGAUAAGAUCUUCACUAGUAGGUUCUGGAGAACUCUCUUAGAAAAGUAUCGCACCAAGUUGAAAUUCAGCACAGCCUAUCACCCACAAACAGGUAUUGGGUAUUAAAUCAAGUUUGAUAGCACUAACACUUCUUGACAGACGGACAAACGGAAAGGGUGAAUAGGCAGUUGGAGGAUUAUUUGCGAUGCUAUGUCUCAAGAGACCAGACCGAUUGGUUAAGUCAUUUGGGACUUGCAGAAAUGUGUUAUAACAACUCACCACAUUCGAGUAUUAGGGUGAGUCCAUGGGAAGUCAUCAAUGGGCGAGCUAUUGAAGGUUUUGUGGAACUCGGUGUGGUUGAGUAUCAUGGAGAGUUACCUGCAGUGGAGGCAUUCACGGCGGAAAGACUCAACAUUUGGAAUCUAGUGAGGAAUUCCUUGGAAUGGGCUUAACAAAGGCAAACCAAGUACGCGAACCAGAAGCAUCGGGAUGUAGAGUUCUACGUUGGGGACAAGGUGUGGCUGAAUACCUAGAACCUCAGGCUACCAAGUGGGAUCAGCCGAAAGUUGACCCAAAGGUAAAAAUGCAUGUAUUCCUGUAAAUGAAUUGAUCUUGAGUUCCUUAAGCAGGUUUGCGGGGCCUUACAAGAUUGAGGCACGAAUUGGUAAAGUGGCUUACCGUCUCCAACUUCCUCAAGAGAUAGGGAAGAUGCACCUAGUGUUCCACGUGAACUUACUCAAGCCAUACUUUGAGGAUCCGCUUCGCAAGGACUAAGUAAGACCUUUACCUGAGGUUAUCCAAAGGGAAGAGGAAUACAAAGUCGAGGUCAUCCUCAAUGCGCACAAGAGCAAGCGAUAAGAAUGCGAGGUGAGAGAGUUCCAUGUGAAGUGGAAAGGAUUUCCACAUUGCGAAGCAACAUAGGAACCAGAGAACCUAGCGAACGCGCGAGAUCUAGUGGAGGAAUUUCUACAAGGCAGAACUCUAUAUACUUAUGUAAAGUUCAAUUAAAGUAUCAAUUUGCGAAGUUGAGCAAUGGCAUAUGUUGGGAUCCGAAGGUGCGCCGAAGGUAAGCUAAUGUGAGACACAAAAUCCCUAGGCCCCAAAGUGGAGCUGGAAAGGGUGCCACAUGGUAGUGGCCGAAGUGAAAGCCAAACGAGCGCAACACGUUUGGACUAAAAGCUCCGACUUGAAAGGUCGAGAGCGGGAGUGGAACUCCCAACAAAGUGCUCGAGGAACAAGCACGAAGCGAGCAAUAAGCGAGGCUCCAAAAAGGGACCCAAAAAGGACCAACACAUAACAUGUGGAAGAGUCCGAGGUGGAGUCUGAGGUGGAGUCCGAGACGGAGUCCGAGGUGGAGUCUGAGGUGGAGUCCGAGAUGGACCGAGACGGAGUCCGAGAAUGGAGUCUGAGGUGGAGUCCGAGAUGGAGUCCGAGAUGGAGUCUGAGGUGGAGUCCGAGAUGGACUGAGACGGAGUCCGAGGUGGAGUCCGAGAUGGAGUCCGAGAUGGACCGAGACGGAGUCCGAGAAUGGAGUCCGAGGUGGAGUCCAAAGUGGAGUCCAAGAUGGAGUCCGAGAUGGACCGAGACGGAGUCCGAGAUGGAGUCCGAGAUGGACCGAGGCGGAGUCCGAGAUGGACCCGAGAUGGAAUCCGAGAUGGAGUCUGAGAAGGACCCGAGAUGAAGUCCGAGGUCAAGACCGAGACCGAGACCGAGACCGGGACCAAGACCGAGACUGAGAUAGAGGUCGAGACCGAGCCCGAGUCCGAGUCCGAGUCCGAGUCCAAGUCCGAGUCCGAGUCCGAGUCCGAGUCCGAGUCCAAGUCUGAGUUCGAGUCUGAGAGGGUGAAAGCCCAAAGCAUUCGUCUCCCAGACCCUGGGGGGUUUGGUGAGCUCCAAAAGUAUAGUAAGGGGGAGGACUGCAGUGGAGCCAGUUUGGCCAGGAAAGGCCAGUUUGGCCCAGGAAGGCUAGACCCAGUGUUGGGUGAUGAACUGACCACUGGGAAGUCCAAGACUAGAGUGAAUACGGACCGACAAGCGGGGUAGCUUGGUGAAGUGUUCAAGAGCCGGCUCUAGUUCCCCCAGGGGAUCGACUGGCCGAUGCUCCCAGUCCAAGUGUGGGUGGCACUACCUACUUGGAUACCAGGCGUGGCUCAACGGAACCUCGCUCUAAACCCAUGGCUAGAGCACCUAAAGGCGAUAGGUGGGGAGAGUACCCAAGUGGCUCGCGUAAGGCCACGGUGUUCCGAAAUAUUGUCCCAAAGGCCCAGACUGUGGAAAGGAAGAGGAGCAGUCCUCUGGAGUAGUGACCAAGGACACAGUCGUGUGGUGAGGAAGUCCCAGAGGACUGUGGGACUUAGUGGUCGGGCCUGUGGGCCUCAAUCCAGUGGUAGUGUGGGUGAACACGGCCAUGGGCAGAAAGGGACUUGGUGGGGACCAGAAAAGAGAUAUUGGGGAAGGCUAUUCCCCACGUCUGUGGGCAUCCUAAGGAUGCUAAGGAGUAGAUCUGGAAUGAUCAUUCAUGGACGGAUGGUCCAGUCCUUGAGAGACGGGAUUGUGAUGCAGGUGGUGUUAGACCAUCGGUAUGACCAAGGUAAAGGGGCAUGGCCUUAGCGUAACGGGCUAGUAUGUCGGUGGUACCUUGGGGUGUCGGUCUUGGGACCGGAUACGUGGAGCACCUGGACUAAGAGCAAGGGAUGAGUGGCAUGGAUGCCAUUCUCGGGGCUAGCAAGUCCCAAGUCUUGAAUUGGACUUAAGGAGGUUGUGAGUGAGACUCCUCCAAGUGGUCGAAGGUGUGGUUAAGUGACUAAAGUAGAAUGGAAAAAUUAGUCGCUUACAACUUGGUAUCGGAGCUGUUCCUUAGUCUGACUUUUAUUGGUCCUCAAGUAUAUCACCAUUGAUGUUGGCAUUGGAAGGUCCUAGGAGUGGGCCUAUCCUUGAGGAGUAGCAUGUCGAGAGGACAUGGCUCUCCACUCAAGUUCAUGCGUGAACUUGGGCACGAUGUGGUGGAUAGAAAAGGGCCAAUAAUAGAACGACUUUGGGAUCUUGGGAACAGUAUAAAGUUUCCUUAGAGAGUUGAGGAUGUGAUCCAGAUGAGCAUUUGACGCAACAAACGGGCUAACAUAGUUGUGGUAAACAACUAUAAUUGGGAUCAUGGGAAAGAUGUAGACUCCAAAGCAAUAAAAGAGUCACAAGAUUAUCCUUAUAUAGUCGAGGUUGGUGCUAAUGAAUGUGAGACCAGAAGUAAUUACUAUGGGAGGUCAAAUACGGAAGAGGGCUCAAGUCCUUGAAAUGGUAGCCGGGGCUACCUUUAAUAAAUGCUAGAAAAACCCAAGGAGUUGAGGGGUGUACUUAGAGAUGAGUUGGUAUUCUCAUUACAUGGACAAGUAGUUCAAAGGGGCAAAGGUUGCCCCAGAGAACAAAAUCAAGUGUCAGAGUAACACUUGUGAAAAUAGUCCUUGUGAGUGAGGACAUGAAUGCAAGAAGUGUAUUCCAGUGAGCUAGUGCCCGACAAGUAGGACCUUACGGGUUUAUGGAUUAACCAAGUCCAAAACUGCUGGGUGACUCAAGUAGAGUCAAGGAAUGGUCGUAAAGGACUAAUAGAAGCAUUUGGACUGAAGUGUGUGGUACCCCACGAAGGAUGGGGGGGAUCAUAAGAUCCAAGGAUGAGAACAGAGGGUAUCUCAUCGAUGGCAAAAUGUGCCAUGCUUAAAGUCGUGGGAAGGGUGUUCCCAAAAAAAAACAACUUUGAAACAAAAUUGUGUGUGACUUCUAUGGUGCAGUGCUAACGGAUGGUUAGCAUGAAAAAGAGUGGUAUUGGUCUUGGCAAAGACUUAGACACAAAUAAGAAGUGUCAUAGAGGUAGGCUCGUGGAGCCGAUGGUGUGGAGACACCAAAUGUGCCAAGGUGUGAUACCUUGAGGCUAUGUUGGUGGGUUCAUGAGAACGCCUUGCCAAAAGAAUCCCAAUGGAAAUGGGAAUGGCAUACCCUAAGUUGCAGAGCAUGCAGUUGGAGUGUGGUGACCCAGAUAAUGAUAGAGGUGUGGAAGCACUAGCAAUGAGUUGUAGAACUUGACAACUAUGAGGCAACUAAUCAAGAGGUGCAAAAUAAUUGGUUAAACGGGUAGAAGGUAGCUACCCAAGCCUUCUUAAUGGCAUAAGGAAGUUGGAUAUACCCUUACAGGGGAUAAGUUGCUUAUGUUGCGAUAUAGUAAGUCAAUGUCAUGAAAGGAAAUACUCAUUGUAAAAAAAGCCGUCAUUGGGACACCCGAACACUCUAGAACACCAGGAGGUGGUGUUUGAUGUCGCGAGGGCAAUAGAUAAAGCCCAAAGGACUAAGUCCCUAGCGAAUGAUGGAUAGAAGGUGCUAUCCAAAUGUCCAAAGUGGCGGAGACAGGAGAAGACUGUCUACUCGAAUUGGACAAAGCCAAAAAUGGAAUUUUGGCAAGGCUAGCGAUGGGCAUGUAAAGGCCCAUAAGCAACAAUGUAAUUUCGGUGUGUGGGAUUAUAGGGUGAGCAUACUUGGAUUAAGGAACCACUCCCUAGGCUAUCAGGUAGGUUCAUCCCUAAGAAUACUUGCUAAGGCAUGAUAGAAAGUGCAAAGCUAUCCUCCUGGUCUGGAGGAGAAUGACCAAAGGAAAAGUGUGAAGCCAAAAGCAAGAAGUAAGGGGUAGAACCAAACCAUAGGAAUCAAAGGGCAUAACCAAGGUUGGUUAUGCCAGUUGGGAGUGGAGAAUCAAGUGGGGGCUCGAGGGUGUUGCCGCUAGCAACCGUGAUGCCAUGGAGAGUCUAAAAUAUGGAAUUGUCCAUGUUAGACUAUAUAGUAAUUGGAAAGCUUGCAAAAAAGGAGGCCUUAGCAAGCUAAGGGACAGAGUUCCUUCAAGGUUCCCAAAGAUGAUUCUAGGUAGCUUAGUACCUAGAAAGGCCAAGCGUAAAUGGUUCAAAGCACGCGCAAAGUCAGAGUGGCGCAGCAGAAGCGUGGUCUUGAAGCUUGCCAUGAGGCAAGGCUAUCAAGGUUAGAGAAGUAGUUCCCGAGUGUUCAAAAAGAGGGCUUUGAACGAAAGUCGAUGAUCAAGGGUUUUCACGCUUGUGCAGGAACCAUGUUACAGUGGUCGGAGGACUUGCCAAAGCGAGAUUGGCAAGUUAGGGGAACAAAUACCCUAGUUGAAGGUGAUAACUUCAAAAAGGGUGGGCCAUGGGGCCAAGCAUGGAGGAGUCCAUGCAUGAUCACAGACUUGUCAAGUGAGAGGACUUGGCAGUGUGGAGGAACUAGGUUCUUAAGUUGUGAUCUAUAGCGCGCUUUGAGUAUAAGUUAGUGCACCGGCGUGGGGAGUCACGCUAGGCAUCCUAGGUGAUGCCGUCCGUAGAUGCAUAUACGGAGGUUGGGUUCGAGUCCCGACCCUCUAGUGCUUGGGUUCGAGUCCCAACUCACUAGGGCGUGGUGAUGGUUUGGAAUAUGAGGACACUCAUUUUUCAGUGGUCAUGGACUCUCAGUGUGGAGACUGGUUUGGGCACACCGCCAAGCGAGGGAUGCCUCGGAGUCGUGAUGCACGGUUAGAUUGCUUAAUGUGGCUCAGCAUAUCUAACUUGAACACUUUGGUGCUAGUGGCACCAAGGACGUGGUGAAUGAGAUGGGGACAGCCAGUCUCAGUUGCUAUGGACCCUUGGCCAGAAGGGCUGGCUUGGGCGCACCGCCAAGUGUGGGGGAUGCCCCCGAGGUCGUAGUUAACAAGUUAAAGGUCUAGAAGACCUAGUACCUAUUGGCAAAUCUGUUAAGGUGCCGAGGUGAGAUCACUAGGUGAUCUUGUGGCUAAAUAAGGACAAGGUCCUUGUUUGGGCUAAGGAAUAAGGUUCCUAGUUCAAAGUGUUGAUUUGAACUAUUGAUGAUGGUGUGGCUUGGUCAAGGUGACCAAGUGGGAAAAGCCCCUUAGGGAAAUGAGCUAUGUCAUUGCGAUGGCAUAGUGUGUCCAAGGAAAGUAGUCUCUAAAGAGACCCAUGGGAGGGUCACAAAGUUGGGCCUUGGAUAGAGCCCACAGCAGAAGAUGCUAAAGAGACUUACUAGGGGUGAGCACCCUAGUCUUGGAAAAGCAGAGCCUUUGCUAUGGAAUCAAAAGAAUAUCUCAAGGAGGGAGGCAGAGAUUCGGUGUUGCUUGGUGCAACAAUCAACGGAUAGGAGCAAAAGAUGAGUGGCCAAGAUAGGGCCGUGGAAUCCCUUGGAAGGAAUCCAAGUGACAAAGUUAGGCGAGAAACAAUAAUGUAUUGGACGCUAACAAAUUGCGGGAAAGGAAGUGUGUUUCCAAGGAUGGAUUCCGAAUUGCUCCGAUUUGGCGAAAGUGGAAGCUCCAAGGGAGGGAGCGGUAAGGUAGCCAAAUGAUGGGGCCAUGGACAGCCCUAGCACAAAGUAUGAUAAAUGGAACUUAGUGCCCAAGGUGGCACGAAAUAGAAGAGAGGAUGAUGGUGCCCUCAAGUAAAGAACUUCCUAGGAUGGGAAGUGGAGUUGCACAAUAGGUGCAAUGCAAGGUGUCGGAAACACCUAGGAAAUUGACUCCAAAAAGUCAAGAGUAAACGUUCCAAAGUGCAAAGGUAAAUCAAUGGAAUCUGUGACUACUCAAGAAUGAGUAGUGGAAUUGAGUUAGAGAGGGUGUCUCUAACGGGUUUAGCAAGAACUAAACUAAUAAAAAAGAGCAAACCACCCUAGGUGGUCAAGUGAGUCUCUAAGUUGGAGAGACUAUCCUCCUUAGAGGAUGGAGAAGGCAUGGUGAACCUUCAAUGUCAAACCAUUGACAAAUAUUGGCUAGGGGCCAAGGAUGGAAAUGGUAACACAUGCGGGUGUUACUUUAUAAAAUGGUUUACCGUUCGAUGAGGACAUCGAACUUCGUCUAUGGGUGGUGGAGUUGUGAGACACAAAAUCCCUAGGCCCCAAAGUGGAACUGGAAAGGGUGCCACGUGGUAGUGGCCGAAGUGAAAGCCAAACGAGCGUAACACGUUUGGACUAAAAGCUCUGACUUGAAAGGUCAAGAGCGGGAGUGGAACUCCCAACAAAGUGCUCGAGGAACAAGCACGAAGCGAGCAAUAAGCGAGGCUCCAAAAAGGGACCCAAAAAAGACCAACACAUGACACGUGGAAGAGUUUGAGGUGGAGUCUGAGAUGGAGUCCGAGAUGGACCGAGACGGAGUCCGAGGUGGAGUCUGAGGUGGAGUCCGAGAUGGACCGAGACGGAGUCCGAGGUGGAGUCCGAGAUGGAGUCCGAGAAUGGAGUCUGAGGUGGAGUCCAAAGUGGAGUCCGAGAUGGAGUCCAAGGUGGAGUCCGAGAUGGACUGAGACGGAGUCCGAGGUGGAGUCCGAGAUGGAGUCCGAGAAUGGAGUCCGAGGUGGAGUCCAAAGUGGAGUCCGAGAUGGAGUCUGAGAUGGACCGAGGCGGAGUCCAAGAUGGAGUCCGAGAUGGACCCGAGAUGGAGUCCGAGAAGGACCCGAGAUGAAGUCCAAGGUCGAGACCGAGACUGGGACCAAGACCGAGACCGAGACCGGGACCGAGACCGAGACCGAGACCGGGACCCAGACCGAGACCGAGCCCGAGUCCGAGUCCGAGUUUGAGUCCGAGUCCGAGUCCGAGUCCGAGUCCGAGUUCGAGUUCGAGUCUGAGAGCGUGAAAGCCCAAAGCAUUCGUCUCCCAGACCCUGGGGGGUUUGGUGAGCUCCAAAAGUAUAGUAAGGGGGAGGACUGCAGUGGAGCCAGUUUGGCCAGGAAAGGCCAGUUUGGCCCAGGAAGGCCAGACCCAGUGUUGGGUGAUGAACUGACCACUAGGAAGUCCAAGACUAGAGUGAAUACGGACCGACAAGCGGGGUAGCUUGGUGAAGUGUUCAAGAGCCGGCUCUAGUUCCCCCGGGGGAUCGACUGGCCGAUGCUCCCAGUCCAAGUGUGGGUGGCACUACCUACUUGGAUACUAGGCGUGGCUCAACGGAACCUCGCUCUAAGCCCAUGGCUAGAGCACCUAAAGGCGAUAGGUGGGGAGAGUACCCAGGUGGCUCGCGUAAGGCCACGGUGUUCCGAAAUAUUGUCCCAAAGGCCCAGACUGUGGAAAGGAAGAGGAGCAGUCCUCUGGAGUAGUGACCAAGGACACAGUCGUGUGGUGAGGAAGUCCCAGAGGACUGUGGGACUUAGUGGUCGGGCCUGUGGGCCUCAAUCCAGUGGUAGUGUGGGUGAAUAUGGCCAUGGGCAGAAAGGGACUUGGUGGGGAUCAGAAAAGAGAUAUUGGGGAAGGCUAUUCCCCACGUCUGUGGGCAUCCUAAGGAUGCUAAGGAGUAGAUCUGGAAUGAUCACUCAUGGACGGAUGGUCUAGUCCUUGAGAGACGGGAUUGUGAUGCAGGUGGUGUUAGACCAUCGAUAUGACCAAGGUAAAGGGGCAUGGCCUUAGCGUAACGGGCUAGUAUGUCGGUGGUACCUUGGGGUGUCGGUCUUGGGACCGGACACGUGGAGCACUUGGACUAAGAGCAAGGGAUGAUGGGCAUGGAUGCCAUUCUCGGGGCUAGCAAGUCCCAAGUCUUGAAUUGGACUUAAGGAGGUUGUGAGUGAGACUCCUCCAAGUGGUCGAAGGUGUGGUUAAGUGAUUAAAGUAGAAUGGAAAAAUUAGUCGCUUACAGCUAAUUAGCAUGGGUUAGCUAGGUCAACCAGGCGUAGGACACUAUGCCCGACUCCCUGCGGGGAUGUCGAAUCCGUAGACAUAUUCUACGGAGGUUGGGUUUGAGUCCCAACCUCCUAGUAAAGCAAGGUUGGGUUCAAGUCCCGACCCCAUACUAGGGCGUGGUGAGGUGAGGGGUAUAGGGACACCUAUAUUCCGUUGUCAUGGGCUUUUGGUCAGGGAGGCUAACUUAGGCACACCGCUAAGUGGGGGGAUGCCUCCGAAGACAUGGUCAACAAGUCGUAGGAUAAAAAGAGACAUUCGAUAUGGGCAUCGAACUUCUUCUAUGGGUGGUGGAGUUGUAAGGAACCAACUUCUCAAGGUGUCGUAGGCUAAAGGAUCCCCGAAAGCAUGACCGAAAUGACAAAGAGUUUAUUCGAUGGGACCGAGUCCAAGACCGACUUUGAGACUGAGUUCGAGAUAGAGUCCAGGAUCGAGCCUGAGGCCGAAUCGGAGACCUAGUUCGAGACCGAGUUUGAGACCGAGUUUGAGAUAGAGUCCGAGAUCUGAAUCAGAUCUGAGACCAAGUCCGAGGUCGAGUUCAAAGUCGAGUCCGAGAUCGGGUCCGAAAUCGAGUCCGAGAUCAAGCCCGAGACCGAGUCCGAAUACUAAUCAGGUUAAGGGGUGAAAGCCCAAAGCGUGCGUCUCCCGGGGGGGGGGGGGGCUACAGGGGGUUCCAAAAGUAUAGCAGGGAUAGUGAGGGAUAGUGAGGGAUAGUGAGGUCCAAGAGCCAGUCUUGAAGGAACUCUCUAGUGGUGCUUCCAAACUGACUUGAGGUUGAGACUGGGGCUGAGAGGCCUUGGGUGGGAGUGAGCAUGGGCUUGGGUGGUGCCGGAGGGGCCACCCGGGGAAGUGCUCAAGAGCAACUCCCACUCCCGAAAGGGAAACCGAUUGCAAUACUCCCGGCUCUCGUGAAGUGGUGCCCCACUUGAGUACUUUGUGGCUCAUUAGUCCUCGCCCUUCCUAGGGGCUUGGGCCUUCCCUUUGAGAUGGAAGUGGAGGGGUAGAGGUACCCAUACCGGGCCGUUAGGCCACAGUGUUUUGCCCCAGUGUCCCGAAGCAAGUGUUGCACCCAAGGCUUGGGAUUUAGAGAGUCCCAUGAUCAAGCUUUGUUGUACCAAGGGCUGUUAGGAACCUAGAGGCUUGGUGUGCUUGGCUGCUUGUGCUUGCGGGGAGUGUAGCCGAACCUUAAGCUCAGUCUAACCCGGGGAGGGGGAUUGGGAGAGAUUUGAGAAUCCGUGGAUGGAUGGCUAACACUCCGUUGCUCGUGCAGUGAGUAGUUGAAACCAAGUAAGACCAAGUAGGAGCUGGUACAAUAGGCGGGAACCUUGGCUAGGGAACUUAGCAAAAGCCAAGGCAGUGUUGGUCGGAUAGACGAGGUAAGCUGGCAAAUUGGAAAGGAAAAAUUUGUGGUUUACAGCUAGCCCAUCUUACAUAAGUUUCAACUUACAAUCUCAAAAGAUACUCACCAAAUUACAUCACCAACUCAGAUGGCCUUUGACAAAAAUGAUGCAAUUACUGAAAGGCAUCAUCACAAUUAUUGGCAUGUCUAAAUAUGCAUUUAAGGAUGUCUGGGAGAAUACUCCAAUCCUUACUAGUGGCUGCCCUCAAACCAUUGUACCACUGCAAUGCCAUCCUUUAGAGACAUAUUAGUAACUCAUAUAAAUGUCAAAUAUCAUCCCAAGAAUAAUAUGUGGCAAUCACCAUGAAAUGAUCAAACCAAUAGUAUACAUCAUCCUUAGGAUUCCCAUGAAAGAACUUUGGCCGAAUACGAGGAUUAACACUAAGAGCUAGAGAAGCUGUACCAUGUGUGAAUGCUACCAUCAAUUGAGUUUGGUUGUUCAACUACAAUCAUAUAACAUUAAGCAAUUACACCAAUUAUUGCUUCAGAGUCAAAGGAGGAAGAGAUUGUUGCUCUACCAUGAAGAUGAAUGAAAAGGAAAAAAUAAAAGAAAAGAAAUAAAAAAAGUUAGAAGGAAAGGGAGAUUUAGAUAAUGCAAAGUUAGAUCUAAACCAAAAUCCUAAAUCCAAGCACUCCUCAGAGACAAUCAAAGGUGCCCCUCACUUCCACCAAUGUGAUUGUAUAGAAUAUGGGAAGGGAGUAUAGAAAAUGUGCAUAUAAAUUGAAACCAAUUCAAUGGCUACCAAAAUCCCACUAUAUUAAUAUUAAUAUAUAGCAUUGUAGUUGUACAUUUGGACCUUACACUACUAAAAUAUGUUUAUUUAUAUAAAAUGCAAAAAGAUAUUAAAAUAUAAAACAAAAAAUCCACUAUAAACCUUAAGUUUUUAAAUUACAUUUUUAAGUUUAUAAUAUUUACAUUAAAUUACAAUUAAAAUUUGAACUCAGCUUGUGAGCUCAAGAGUGGUCAAAAGACCUAGGUUCCUCAACAUAUUACUAAUAUAUAUAAUAGUGUUUGACAAUGCUCUAUUCAAGAUGUUGGAAGUGAUUGUUUUAUACUUAAUACUAGACAAGUGGCAAUCUCUAAAAUAUUGUAUUCAUUUUACAUAUUAUUACAUAUUAUAAAAAAAGGAUAUAGUAGUUCUUUAUAUUCCAAUAGUGAAGUUAAAUCAAGCACUAAUUUGGAUAGAUCCAUCUUUGGCUCUCUUGAUUGUUAAUUGUAACUAUGCACUGUUAGAUUUUUGGUCUUUCAAAACAAUUCUCUCAACAAGCACCUCUUAUGCUAUUAAAGUCUUUUUUCAGAGGAUUUUAUUAUUUUUAAAUGUUUCCUUUCAGCAACCAAAAGUUUUGAAGCUAUCAAUGAGAGGGAAAUAUAUAUGUAAAUGUUGUAUGGUUUGUUGUUUGGAUAAAAGCAAAACAUCUAGAAGAAAACAUAUAUUACUGAUUAGAAGAGGAUGAUUCGAUGAUUUUGUAUGGUGAACUUCAAAAAUUAAAAUAGUAAACAUCAUAACAUUCAAGAAAUAAAGCGACAUAUAAAUGUUUUUAGAGUUAACUCUGAGGUAGAUCUAAAUAGAUUUGAUCUUUUACAUGACACUUCAAUUGAUGGGAUGCAUACUUUGCUUUAAAAAACAAAAAUAUCUCAACAUGAAGCUAAAAUGCUAGAACACAUAGUGUUAUAGUAGUAAAUGGACGAAGUUGCAAUUACAAGUAUAAUACUAUAUUUUACAUGAUGUUACUAUAAAUCACAGCUAUAUAGAUUUAAAAACCUAUAAUUUAAACAGUUAAAACAGCAUAGAAAAUAUAAUCCCCACUAUUAGAAAUAUGUAUAGAUCCACUCCAAGUGCUGUGGUGACAGGAUCUUGCAAUAGAGCUGCAAACAUGUGCAAUAAAAUGGAAGUUAGCAUUGGGCAGAUAAAUCCAUGCAUUUGUAUGUAAUAGCAAUCUCAUAGCACACAACACUUGGAAAGUGUGACAGCUUGUGACCAUACCCUAUAGAAUAUGCUUAGAAUAUUCCUCAUCACCUAGAUUGCAAUACCUUCUAUACACAAACAUCAAUCAACACACUUUGAUUCAUUCUUUGGAAUUGUGUCUAGCUCUUGCUUGUAAAGGAGCUGUCAUUGCUACCAAUGUCAAUGUAGCUGGCAAUCAAAUACAUCCAUUCUACCAAAUUCACCUCUAGUAUUUUGUCAAAGAAAUCCUAUGCCUCCAAUUUUUGCCCCCAUCAGGCAAAUGCCAGUAGCAUUGUUGUCCAGAUCAAAAGAUUAUGAUGUUCCAAGAGACUAUGUUUUAUAGUGGCAUCAAAUCAAACAUUCCCUUGUUGAUUAAAGAUGUGGCAUAGCCCGUGAUCAUGGCAUUCCAGGAUAACACACUCUUCAUAGGAAUUGAAUAAAACAUUGCCUUUGCUUGGAUUGGGUGUAGGCUGCCACCAUUAUGGUCUAGGAAACAGGGUUUUGAUCAAUCUUGCACUUUGAGUAAGUAAAUGCUGCAAUUAAAACGUUCCACACUAGAUUUUUUCAAAUGCAGCCUUGGGACUCACAUUUCUGGCACACAUAAAGUGACUUCUUAACUUGCUCACCCUGCAAAAGGAUUGAGAGAAAUGGCAGCACAAAGUUAGGUUUUAGGUGAUUUGAUCUAUGGAAUUUGGAAUAAGAAUUCUUGUGGGAUAUGGGUGCCACUUUUACCACAAUUUUGCCACUGUCAGCCUCAUCUUCCUCAUCAGUGUUUCACAAUUAAUUUUUUUUGUAUAACUCUCUACUCAAAUUAUAAAUUAAAGAAACUCACGGCUAUAAAACACAAAUUCCUAAGUUGCAAAAUGGAGGUUAAUGUGUGCUAUAUGGUAUUGGUUGAAAUGGAAAUCUAAUAAUUGUAAUAUAAUUUCAAAUAAAACUUUUAAAAUUCCAAUAAUUGUAAUAUACUUUCAACUAAAACUUUUAUUUUAAAAGUCAAGAGUGAGAGUGGGACUCUCAAAUAAGUAAUUGUGGAAUAAGUAUAUGGAUAAAAGAAUGAUUAAUAGAUAGAAAGUAUUAUGAUAACAAAACUAAAAUCUUAAAACAUAAAGUCUUAAAGUGGAAGUUUCUAUCAGUUUAUUUUAUAGAAGUUUCAACAUAGUUACUUUUAAAUAUUUAUAUUAUUUCAAUUUUUAGGAUUUAUAUGUUUUAUUAAAAACAUAAAUUUUAAAAAAAUUAUCAUACAUUAGUAUUGAUUUUGUGCAAAAUAUUUUUGAAAUUUUUUAAAAUGAUAGUAAUUCCCUAAAUUUCUUUAGCAAGUAGAGAAGAUAAUGAGUUAAUUUAAAAUAAUUAUUAUGUAGCAAUUUUAUAAAAAUAUUUUUAUGUGUACUAUAUAAUAGCAAAUAUUCUAUACCGAAAGUAGAAUAAAAUAUUACAAUUAUAAAUAAAUAUAAUUUAAAACUAAACACAUAUUCAUAAAUUUCUAACAUGAAUAAGUUAUAAGGUUUUACCACUUCUCACUAGCAUUAUGUUAAUGCAAAACCUUAAAUACCUAUUAUUUAAACUUUGUAUAAUGGUUUUAUUUUGUGAUUAAAAUUUAUUGUUUUUAUUAUUUUUGGUUUUAAUUGGAUUUAUGUAAUUAAUUUUGUUCUAUUUAAAAUUAUACUUUUGAUAAAUCAGUCAUAGUUUUUAUUUAUAUAAUAUUCUUGUUACUACUGAAUUUAUUUACUAUUACUAUUAAUUUUAUUAUCUGUAUGAUUCUUAUUAUUUUAGUUAUUAAUUUUUAUUUUAUAUUUUAUAUUUAAAUUUGAUAAAUUUACUUAUAUACACCCGGUUACAUUUUUUGUGGAUUUAUUUAAAACUCUAAACACCACAUGUGUUGCAUUUUGUGUUGAUAUAUCACUCUAAGCAAGACUUAUUAAGUGGAUAAAUUACAUGGUGCCAAAACUCCAUCAAAGGUUUGCUCUAUAUUGAUCCCCAUAACUAUAAAUAUUGCAUUUGCAAAAACAUUUAUCUUUUUAUAUUCUUUAGCCCCUUAAUUGCAUAUGGUUAUAAAGAAGAACAAGAAAGUCAACAAGAAAUGUUGAAACCAAAGAGUGUUACUACAAAAAAUGGCUUGAGACUAUUAAACAUUAAUAGAAAUCUAUCACAAUAAGGAGGAGUUGCUGAACUUUUUGGGCCGCCAGAUCCAGCUAAUCGCAGGCGUCUAAUGGGGAGCUAACUGUAAAGGGGUUAUUUCUUUAACCACAUGUUAGCGAACAAUCGCACUAAUGCUAGAUCUUCCUCACGGCCUUGGGCUGUUGCUAUUGCUCGAGCGAUCUUGAUGCCCAAACGACAGAUGCAGUCAUGGUUAACACAUUUGCAUGCAACAUGUGUCGCCGCGCCUCUUGCCCCAUGCAGUUGGGUUGCCUCCCAUUGGCCAGGAGCAAACAUUAGUGUGAUUAUUUGCUAACACGUGGUUAAAGAAAUAACCCCUUUACAGUUAGCCCCCCAUCAAACGGCUGCAAUUAGCUGGAUCUAGCGGCCUAGAAAGUUCAGCAACUCCUCUUUAUUGUGAUAGAUGGCUGGGAGCAAGUGACUGGAGCAAGAUCAAUCAUCCUCCUAGCAGUGGAGUGAGGUGUCACAGCAUCUGGAUGUGCCGCUCGACUAGAACUUAGUGUUCAUUGGCCAUGGCAAUAGGAUCUUCGACAUGGAGAUGUUUAAGAUCUUCGGGCAGAUGCUGGAUUUCAUGAUAGUGUGCCAGUUUGGAAGAGUUCUAGAUGUGGUGACUAGGUAUCUUUCUCUCUUUUUCUUUUUAUCCAUUUUGGUGAUGAAUGGAAGGGCAUUUUGUGCUAGUUGGUGUCACAUGCAAAAGUGUUGACUGCCAAGGCUGUGGCAUCCAGGGCAACAACACUCAGGUAUGGAGAGGAUUUGGAGAGUGUGCUGAGCGUGGAGGAUGUUGCCAAUGUGGCCGUGUUCUUGGCUAGUGAGGACCCAUGGUUCGUGAGCGGGCUGAUGCUGGAUAGAGCAAGCACUGUGAUAGACAAGUGAUCGGGAUGAUGCUUGCUGCCACUGCUUCAAGCUAGAAAAAGGAAGAUUGAUUUAGUACUAAACCAUCUAUCCCACGAUUUGGAUUUGAAGAGGUUGCAAUCAAACGCAGUGAUUCCAAAGUGUUGACAACAAGUUGGCACCAAGAAAUCCUUUGUGCCAAUUUUUUCAAAAGGGUUCUCUAGCUUGGCCAGAUUUGAUGGCCACUUCCCAAACAUGAUGUCCUGGCACAACGAUUCAUCUAGUCCCUGCUGCAACACUUCUUUCCUCUCCUGCAAAGAGGAAACUUAAGGAGGAGAGAUUGACAAACUUGGGUAGUUUUGCCCUUUGGCACAAUUUCAUUUGAAGUGGUGCUUUUUAGGCAAGAAGAAAUGCGAGAGGAAGAAAGAAGCUAUGGCGACUUAGCAGCAGCAGCAGCAGCAGCCUCCUAGCUACAAUCAAGCUCAAUCAUGCGGCAGCAGCAAUUUGUAUGUGUUGUAUCCCAAGGGGAGGCCGCAGUGAUGGGCACACUGGCAAACCCUAGCGCUCAUCCAGGUAAUCAGCAAGCAGCCAUGUCCCAGCGCCCUGAAUUGAAGGGAAGGGAUUUGAUAAGCUUGGAGUGGCGGGAAGCUAUGUCUCACCACAGGUCGGCAAAGGAAGAGAUCCCAAUAGAGCCGGUGGUGGUGCUGUAAGUCCCUACAUCUAGAGAGCAUCCAUCCCAUCCACUCUAGGAAAGAGUAACCAUAGUUUUGGAUUGUGUCUAUUUAGCAAAUAAGGCACUCAUGUGGCAUUGCUUGGGUGCUUGAGAUAAUUCACUCCAAUUGGGAAUAGGUAUCAUACUUCUUUUUUGUGGAAGAAAAAAAAUCUCACCAAGAGUUUUUCUUUUGUUAUCCAAUAGGAAAAGAAGAACAAAUGCGUAACACAAUGAUGGCAUUAGUUUUAAUACUAAAUUUACCUUUGCUAACUGUGCAGCUUUUGUUGGGCAAAUACUAAUGUGAAAAUAGUUAGGUUUUAAUUGUAAUACAUUGUGUGAUUCUGGACUGUGGUAUUGUUGCUGGAAACAAGAAUGGUAAAUCAUUGCAACUGACUGGGACUAUUUCGAGAAGAAUUGGGAUUUAAGGCCAGAAUGCCUUAAACCCUAGGUUGGCCUACCUUCCUUCCUCAACUUCCCUUUGAGGUGGACAAAUGCCGCCUCGCAUUCUGCUGUCCAUACCAUCUUCCCUUUUCUCGUUUGGUCCAUUAAGAGCAGGGCUACUCUCGAAUAGUGUCUGAUAAACUUUCGGUAGUAGUUGCAUAGCCCCAAGAACGCCCUCAACUUAUGUAUAUUCGAUAGUCGCUCCCAUUCUUGGAUCGCUUGGACCUUCUCUGGGUCCACCUUGAGCCCAUCCUAGCCCACCACAUGCCCGAGAAACUUUACCUCUUGUUGAGCAAAGUCACAUUUGCUCUCUUUAUCAUACAGUUUGUGUUCCCUUAGUUUCUUAAACACUUUCGUCAAGUGUUCGGCAUGCUCCUCUAACGUCUUGCUAUAGAUCAGGAUGUUGUCGAUAUAGACGACCACGAAGUGAUCCAGAUAGGGUACAAAGAUAUGGUUCAUCAAUGCCGAAAAUGUUGCUGGCGCAUUGCAUAGCCCGAAGGGCAUCACCAGAAACUCAAAGCUCCCAUACCUUGUUCGACAGGUUGUCUUCUCGACAUCUUCCUCUACUACCCUGAUCUGGUAGUAUCCUAACCUUAGGUCAAUCCUCGAGAAGUAUUUUGCCUUUCCCAACCUAUUGAACAAGUCCUCAAUUCUUGGCAAAGGGUACUUGUUCUUCUUUGUAUACUUGUUCAGCAAUCGGUAGUCUAUGCACAUGCGCAUAGAUCCAUCUUUCUUUUUCACAAAUAACACCGGCGCCCUAAACAGCAACUUGCUUAACCUAACAUACCCUUUGUCCACCAACUCCUCUAGUUGGUGCUUGAGCUCUUCGAGUUCUUUUUCGUUCAAACGAUAAGGGGGAUGGACCACUGCCUCAACACCCUCGACCAGCUCAAUCUUAUGUUCUAUUGGUCGUGCGGGGGGCAACCCCGCUGGUAGCUCCUCCGGCAUGGUAUCCUGGAAUUGUUCUAACACCUGCUGGAUCACUAAAGGUACUUCUUCCGUUCCUGUCUUUUUGUCACUGUUCACUGAGAAUAAGCACAAAAAUGCUGCCUUAGUUCCUUUAGUGAGUUGUCCUCUCGUGGACACCAGGUUUAAGUAGGAAUCUUUGGCCUUGCUUUGCCCUACCUUUAGAUCCUAAGCCUCCACCCUAGAUCUUCUUCCUUGGGUAUUCACUAGUACCACAAGGUUCUUACCUUAUCCAUGCAAAGCUAUCAUGAACCGAUUGAACGAAUCCAUUCCGAAAAUCACGUCAAAUCCCGCCAUGUCCAACACAGUGAAAUCCAUGUCUACUUUCUAAGUCCCUACUUCGACUCUCGCUUGUCGAAGUACCUCAUCGGUGCUUUGGCUACCUUGAACAAACUCUAUAGUCCUUGGUUCGCCUAGCCACUGCACCAUUAGUCUAGCUUGCCAAACUAUAUCUGCAGUCACAAAAUUAUUUGAAGCACCCGUGUCAAUAAGGAUCUAAACAAAGCUACCUCCGAGCUUCCCUCAAAGGGCUAGUAGAUGUCACAAACGACUCUCUACCAAAGUUGUUCAAGUAAUGAGUAACUUUGAGCUAGAGACUGGAUCACAUAUCUCCGUUUGGAUUUCACCCGACUUAAUGGCCAUAUUGGCUCUGGCCUUCUUCGGGUAGGGACAUUCCCUUGAAAAGUGUCCUGCUUCACCGUAGUUGUAAUAUACAUUGUUUCCCACGCUGCUAUAUGACUUGACCUUUUUAUCCAUGGGUUUGUCUCAUUUUGCUUGACUCCCUUACAUACUUGCUCGCUGGCCACCGGAUUUGCCUUUCUGGAACCCCGAGGACUCAUUCUUAGAGAAACUCUUCUUGAAUUUCCCUUUGCUAUACGUUCCCCUUGGUUUGGCCCCUUUGCUAAACGUUGCUAAACGUGGACCCCGACCCCGUCAUGUUCCCCUUUUGUAGGUUAUUGUUGAAAUGCACCUUGAUGGCCAUAUCCAACACUUCCUUGUAAUUGGUCAGGUUCCAACGCAUCACCUCACCGCGAGCCCAGGUUUGCAAGCCUAAUAUGAAGGCAUGGAACGCAUCUAUACCCCCCAUGUCCGUGACAAGUAUCCUCUUUGCCAUAAACCCAUUCACAUACUCCUGAAUGGUUCCGGUCUGCUUUAGCCUACUUAGCUCGUCUUUUAGAUGCAGAGUAGCAUUCGGAGGAAUGUAAGUCACACAGAUCCUCGCCUUCAUCAUUUCCCAAGUGGCUACCGGUCCUUCGUUGGCCUCUGUCGUUCUCCACCAAGACUUGGCAUUAUCUGCCAAGUAUGGUUUUGCACAUGGGACCUUCUCCGAGCUUGGUAACCACAAUACUCGGAAGUAGUCCUCCAUAUCAUAAAACCAAUCCUCCACCACCUUAUAGUCGUUCACUCCCUUGAAGACUAGUGGGGGCUUUGGUUUGUACUUGGGAACUACUUGAAUGACUGAUUCCACUUCGGUCUGUUCGACCUUGUUUGGUUUUGCCUCAGUCCCUGCCAACGGGUCUGCACCUUCUACGCUGCCAGCAUCCGCAGUCUUUUGCCUUUUCUUCCGCUUCUCAUCACGCUUUAGUUUGCAUACAAGAGUCUCCAGAAGGGCAUUGGUCUAUGCCAAUUGUCCUUUUAGCACGUCUAAUCGAGCCUUGGAUGACCAAACCUCACCACUGAACUCCUGUUUGGAAGUUUCCUCACUGAAGUCGUCCUCAUGCAAGGAUUCCUCAUCCAUAGCCUCUUGUUCGACCGGAGGCUCUAGCUCUGGAGGAGGUUCCGUCUCCGCCUUGGUUCGUUUCUGCCUUGCUUUUGCCAUCUCCCAGCAAUCCACCUCUAUCCUUUGCUAGAACUGAGGAAAAGGCUCCAAUACCAAAUUGUAAGCCACAAAUUUUUCCUUUCCAAUUUGCUAGCUUAGCUCAUCUAUCCGACCAACACUGCUUUGGCUUUUGCUAAGUUCCCUCACCAAGGUUCCCACAUAUUGUACUAGCUCCUACUUGGUCCUACCCGGUUUCAGCUACUCACUGCACGAGUAAUGGAGUGUUAGCCAUCCAUCCAUGGAUUCCCAAAUCUCUCCCAAUCCCCCUCCCCGAGUUAGACUAGGCUUAAGGUUCGGCUACACUGUAGCGCACGUGGUUUUUACCCUUUAUCCUAUGGUGAUUUACUAUAGGAUAACACCACGAAGCGGAACCUAACCCUCUUUGUGCCACGUGUCACAUGCCACAUGUCCAAAGGAUAGUGGUGUGGAACCAGAGUUUCAGGGCCUUGGGCCACUGAACGAAGGGACAGUACCAAUCUCCCAAGCUUGGAGCUAAGGAGUGACAGAACUGAACCACGAAGCAACUCCCGAGCAUACAGCCCAAGGAGCGAAGGGACAGGAGCCUAGAGCGAUUUGGAACAGUCCUGGAGCAACUAGCAUCCUAAUGCCAGGACCAGCACGCAAAACGGAGCGAAACGAAGUCUGGCGCUAUUUUGGCAUAUCGGUGGCCUAACGUGAGGACAUGGGUACUCCACCAGCUAGCAUGGAAUGGAACUUGGGCUUAGACCCAAGCCGGACGCAGAACAAAGACAGGCAUGCAAGCGGGAGCUAAACUAUGCCUCAAGUUGGUUGGCCAUACCCAACCUACCCACUAUCCCUACUAUACAUUUAGAACCCCCCAUAGCCCCCCCCCCCCCGUUGAGGAACACACGCUUUGGGCUUUCACCCCAAGCCUCCCUUAGUACCAAGAGUUAGUCUCUGGGACAAGCUUGAAACUUACUAAAUAUGGAAUGUCCUUAGAUUGCGAAUUUGGACAUGGGACGAACACCAUUGCGUUCAAAAUGAUCUCUACAUUCCGUAGAUAUGCCAAAUGAACAAAUCUAGACACUUUCCAUUAUUAGUAUUUGGGACCGAAAUAAGACUAACACAAAAGGCAUAAUAGCAAGGGUGUUUCGCAGACACGGUAAGUUAUCAUCCAGCCCAAGUCAAGCUUUUGACCUCAUCCUUGGUAUGGAUUGAUUGUAACGCAAUUAUGCCAAGUGUGACUUUGAGGCUUCUCCCCUUUGUCUCAUACUUUCUUAUGUUUCAUCCAUUCCUCUCACUUCCAUACCUCUUCAUCCCUCUACUUUUACCUUUGCUUCCAUUACUUUUGUUCCCCCACUAUUUCCUCCUAUAUUUCUGUCUUGUUCUGCUCUUCCCUUUUCCGAUCCCUCCGACAAUUUUUGUGUUGCAGUGGUUGACCGACUCAUGAAGGAGUAUUCUGAUCUCUUUAAAUUUGACCUAUCGUCUAGGGCCAAGAUUGCUACACAUCAUCCAAUUCCAAGCAGGGAUGCUUGUUCAGUCAAGGUUUCUGUUCGUCAUUUGUCACCCAAGGAGAUCAAGAUUUUACAUACAAAUGUCAAGGAAAUGUUGGAGAAGGGUGUUAUUCGGAAGUCGCAAAGUCCUUGGGCAUGUGAACCUCAUCUUGUGAUGAAGCUUGAUGGGAGUAUUUUUUUCUGUAUCGACUAACAAUCCCGAAUGUGUACCCUCUUCCUCACACUUCUGAUCUCUUGGAUCGUCUAGGGCAAAGUUGUUGGUUCAUUAAGCUAGAUCUUGCUUCUGGGUAUUGGCAAUGUGAGACACAAAAUCCCUAAGCCCCAAAGUGAAGCCGGAAGGGUGCCAUGUGGUAGUGGCCGAAGCAAAAGUCAAACAAGCGUAACGCAUUUGGACUAAAAGCUCUAAUUUGAAAGGUCAAGAGCAGGAGUGGAACUCCCAACAAAGUGCUCGAGGAAUAAGCACUAAGCGAGCAAUAAGCGAGGCUCUAACAAGGGACUCAAAAGGACGAAUACAUGACAUGUGGAGGAGUCCGAGAUGGACCCAAGUUGGAGUCCGAGAUGGAGUCCAAAAUGGAGUCUGAGAUGGAGUCCGAGAUGGAUCGAGACGGAGUCCGAGAUGGAGUCCGAGAUGGACCGAGAUGGAGUCCGAGAUGGAGUCCGAGAUGGACCAAGACAGAGUACAAGAUGGAGUCCGAGAUGGACUGAGACGGAGUUCGAGAUGGAGUCUGAGAUGGACCGAGACGGAGUCCGAGAUGGAGUCCGAGAUGGACCCAAGAUGGAAUCCGAGAUGGAGCCUAAGAAGGACCCAAGAUGGAGUCCAAGGUCGAGACCGAGACCGAGACCGGGACCGAGACCGAGACCAAGACCGAGACCGAGAUCAGGACCGAGACCGAGACCGAGGCGGAGGCCAAGACCGAGCCUGAGUCCGAGUCCGAGUCUGAGUCCGAGUCCGAGUUUGACUCUGAGAGGGUGAAAGCCCAAAGCAUUCGUCUCCCAGACCCUGGGGGGUUUGGUGAGCUCCAAAAGUAUAGUAAGGGGGAGGACUGCAGUGGAGCCAGUUUGGCUAGGAAAGGCCAGUUUGGCCAGGAAAGGCCAGUUUGGCCUAGGAAGGCUAUACCCAGUGUUGGGUGAUGAGCUGCCUACUGGGAAGUCCAAGACUAGAGUGAAUACGGACCGACAAGUGCGGUAGCUUGGUGAAGUGUUCAAGAGCCGGCUCUAGUUCCCUCGGGAGAUCGACUGGCUGAUGCUCCUAGUCCAAGUGUGGGUGGCACUACCUACUUGGAUACUUGGUGUGGCUCAAUGGAACCUCGCUCUAAGCCCAUAGCUAGAGCACCUAAAGGCGGAAGGCGGGGAGAGUACCCAUGAGGCCCGCGUAGGCCACGGUGUUCCGAAAUGUCGUCCAAAAGUCCUAGUAUGUGGAAAGGAAGAGGAGAAGCCCCUAUAAGCUCCCUGAAUUUGGACUUCCCGGGAGGUCACCCAGCCCAGUACUAUUCAAACCCAAGGACGCUUAACUCUAACUAUCCCAAGACCCUUAACCGAUUGGAAAAGGGGGUGCACUCUUAUUCAUGGGCCCUUUCCCUCUAUAUUUGAACCCCAUGGACCGUCUCUCGAGUCGUUCCCUUUGGUUGCUUACAAUCCACCACGCUUCCCUGCAAGUUCACGCCCUCGUGAACGGAAGCUGAGAGCCGCAGCUCUCCUGAGAGCCCCGCUCUCUUGACACCCUACCCCUUGGGUCGAGCCCAGCGGGAGCAAACUAGACCAGCCAGAUGUCAAUUAACAUGUGGUGUGAUUCCUCUAGCCAACCAACAGAGUCGGACCCAAGACCGCUCCGAUACCAANNNNNNNNNNNNNNNNNNNNNNNNNNNNNNNNNNNNNNNNNNNNNNNNNNNNNNNNNNNNNNNNNNNNNNNNNNNNNNNNNNNNNNNNNNNNNNNNNNNNNNNNNNNNNNNNNNNNNNNNNNNNNNNNNNNNNNNNNNNNNNNNNNNNNNNNNNNNNNNNNNNNNNNNNNNNNNNNNNNNNNNNNNNNNNNNNNNNNNNNNNNNNNNNNNNNNNNNNNNNNNNNNNNNNNNNNNNNNNNNNNNNNNNNNNNNNNNNNNNNNNNNNNNNNNNNNNNNNNNNNNNNNNNNNNNNNNNNNNNNNNNNNNNNNNNNNNNNNNNNNNNNNNNNNNNNNNNNNNNNNNNNNNNNNNNNNNNNNNNNNNNNNNNNNNNNNNNNNNNNNNNNNNNNNNNNNNNNNNNNNNNNNNNNNNNNNNNNNNNNNNNNNNNNNNNNNNNNNNNNNNNNNNNNNNNNNNNNNNNNNNNNNNNNNNNNNNNNNNNNNNNNNNNNNNNNNNNNNNNNNNNNNNNNNNNNNNNNNNNNNNNNNNNNNNNNNNNNNNNNNNNNNNNNNNNNNNNNNNNNNNNNNNNNNNNNNNNNNNNNNNNNNNNNNNNNNNNNNNNNNNNNNNNNNNNNNNNNNNNNNNNNNNNNNNNNNNNNNNNNNNNNNNNNNNNNNNNNNNNNNNNNNNNNNNNNNNNNNNNNNNNNNNNNNNNNNNNNNNNNNNNNNNNNNNNNNNNNNNNNNNNNNNNNNNNNNNNNNNNNNNNNNNNNNNNNNNNNNNNNNNNNNNNNNNNNNNNNNNNNNNNNNNNNNNNNNNNNNNNNNNNNNNNNNNNNNNNNNNNNNNNNNNNNNNNNNNNNNNNNNNNNNNNNNNNNNNNNNNNNNNNNNNNNNNNNNNNNNNNNGUGACCUCCCGGGAAGUCCAAAUUCAGGGAGCUUACAUUUGGUAUCAGAGAGGUCUUGGGUCCGACUCUGUUGGUUGGCUAGAGGAAUCACACCACAUGUUAAUUGACAUCUGGCUGGUCCAGUUUGCUCCCGCUGGGCUCGACCCAAGGGGUAGGGUGUCAAGAGAGCGGGGCUCUCAGGAGAGCUGCGGCUCUCAGCUUCCGUUCACGAGGGCGUGAACUUGCAGGGAAGCGUGGUGGAUUGUAAGCAACCAAAGGGAACGACUCGAGAGACGGUCCAUGGGGUUCAAAUAUAGAGGGAAAGGGCCCAUGAAUAAGAGUGCACCCCCUUUUCCAAUCGGUUAAGGGUCUUGGGAUAUUUGGGGUUAAGCGUCCUUGGGUUUGAAUAGUACUGGGCUGGGUGACCUCCCGGGAAGUCCAAACUCAGGAGCUUACAGCCCCCUGGUGUGGUGACUAAGGACACAGUCACACAGUGAGGAAGUCCUAGAGGACAGUGGGACUUAGUGGUCGGGCCCAUAGGCCUUGAUCCAGUGGCAGUGUUGGCGAACAUGGCCAAGGACAGAAAGGGACUUGGUGGGGACCGGAAUGGACAUAUUGGGGAAGGCUAUUCCCCAUGUCUGCGGGCAUCCUAAGGAUGCUAAGGAGGGGAUCUGGGAUGACCACUCAUGGGCAAAUGGCCCAGUCUUGGAGAGACGGGAUUGCAAUGCAGGUGGUGUUAGACCACUAAUGUGACCAAGGUGAAUGAGCGUGGCAUAGCGUAACAGGCUUAUAUGUCGGUGGUACCUUGGGGUGUCGGUCAUGGGAUCGGACACGUGGAGCACUUGGACCAAGUGCAAAGGUUGAGUGGCAUGGAUGCCAUUCUUGGGGCUAGCAAGCCCCAAGUCCUAAAUGGGACUUAUGGAGGUUGUGAAUGAGACUCCUCCAAGUGGUCAGAGGUGUGGUUAAAUGACUAAAGUAGAAUGAAAAAAUUAGUCCCUUAUAGGCAAGUACUGAUGGCCAAAGAAGAUAUUCUUAAGACUGUUUUUCGUAUAUCAUUUGGUUUGUAUGAGUUCUUGGUGAUGCCGUUUGGUUUGAACAAUGUUCCAACAACAUUCCAGUGGAUGAUGGAUGAGGUUUUUUGUGAUAUGCCAAAGGUGACUACCAACUUCAUUGAUGAUGUCUUGAUCCACUUGGAGGGGACGUGGGAGGAGCACGUUCAUGAUAUUUGUAAAGUGUUGGAUUGGCUACGAGACAUUGGUUUAAAGCUGAAGUGGUCGAAAUGCGUGUUUGGGUCCAAGGACAUAACUUAUCUUGGGUACCGUAUUUCUCGUGGGGGUUUGCAAGUUAAUCUUGACAAACUUGUGGCUAUUCUAAGGUUCCCUACUCUGAAGUGUGUGAAUGAUGUGCAGCGCUUCUUGGGUAGGGUGUAGUAUCUCGAUCAUUUUAUGGAUCAUAUUUCUGAUCGCAUUGCACUAUUGUGAGUAUUGCUGAAGUCAUCAAUGUCAUCUUUCAUCUGGUCUCCGAAUUGUGAGUAGGCGUUUGGGGAUCUCAAAGAGCUAUUGACAACUCCUCCAGUUUUGGCAUAUCCUAACUACACUCAACCUUUUAUUUUGCCUAUGGAUGCUUUUGACAUUAGUCUUGGAGGUGUGUUGAUGCAAGAGAGUCCGAGUGUGCCUGGUUAGCGCCAUCCCAUUGCGUAUAUAAGCUGUACAUUGCAACCAGUGGAAGUGAACUACUCCACGAUACAGAAGGAGUGCUUAGCAGCAGUCUGGGGUUUCAAGAAACUUCAUGCGUAUCUACAUGGUUCUCAGACGUUACUUGAAGGUGACCAUGCUGCCAUUACUUCAUUAUUGAAGUGAAAGAACCUUGUUGGUCAUAUUGUUCAGUGGGCUUUAAAGCUUCAGAUAUAUGAUUUUGAUGUUGUUCAUUGCCCAGGGAGUUUUAUGGCUAAUGCUGAUGCCCUUUUUCGAGGUCCUCUUCCUUCUCCACUCUCUUCUCAUGUUUUUGACGAGCCUGUUGUUUCAACAUUUGUGGAUUUUUUAAAUGAGGAUUCUGUGCCAUUGGUAGUUGUAAUGCACCUGAUUUUGGAGCCAAACUCCAAGCCCAUUGCGCUACGAAAUGAGGGUCCGGUACAAUCCCAUGAGCACUAGCUCCCCGUAUCUAGCACUUGCACACAAAAUGGUGUCAAGCAGUGUCUAGCACAAUUUUGGCAUAUUGGUGGCCUAACACAAGGAGGAGGGUACCCCACCGACUAUAGCAGCAUGGAGCUUGGGCUUAGACCCAAGCCGGAUGCAAAACAAGGAGCGACACAGCCCAGCGGGAGUCAAAUUAAUGUCUCAAGUGGUUUAACAUGCAUUCCAACCACUAUCCCUACUAUACAUUUGGAACCCUUCAUAGCGCCCCCCCCCGCCCCCCCUCGAGGGACACACACUUUGGGCUUUCACCCCAAGCCUCCCUUAGUACCAAGAGUUGGUCUCUAGGACAAAUCUGAAAUCUACUAAAUAUGGAAUGGUGCUAAAUUUUUGGACACGGGAUGAACACCAUUGUGUUCAGGCCGACCUCUACAUUCCAUAGAUAUGCUAAAUAAGUGAAUCUAGACACUUUCCAUAAAUAGCAUUUGGGACCGAAAUGAGACUAACACAAAGGGCGUGAUAGCGAGGGUGUUUGGCAAACACAAUAAGUUAUCAUCUGGUGAUAUUGAGGGACUAGUCUCAAUACGUGAGGGUUCUUCCCAAGCAAGUGCAAGACAAAGCAAAAGAUAACUAACAAGCUGGGCCAAGUAUGCUUAGCUAAAUAGACAAUUAGGAAUUCCUUCCUUAUGCUCAUCAAGCAAAGUACAGAUGCUAAAUCCAAUUUACUAACACUUGGACAAGAGGGGCUAAUAAAGGGAAUCAGCAAUACCGACCUCUUGCCAUCGUUGUUAGGAAUCCCUCAAUUCUUGCCACAUUCCUGACUCUCGCCGGAUUCCUGACCUACAGACCAUAUUCCUAACUCUCGAGACACUUCCCUAUUCCUGACUCCUGUACGAUCCCUGAGUCUCAAGCCACAUUCCUGAUGAUGAUGUGAUGCCUCCUCGACCUUAGCUAUAUUUAGGUCGUCCUCGAUCCAAGAGUGGUGGAGCUUCAUCAACCUAUAGUAUAUAUAGGUUAGCCUUGUUCCAUUUUUCCACAAUCUGAAUCAACACCAGUCAAAGGCCUCUUCUUCGUUUCCACUAGCUUUUCUCUUUGUCUUCUGCAUUUUCCAGUCUUGAUCUUGUUGGGGGUCUUGACAGUUUGAUUCAGAUUGUGGUUUUUCCAUUUUUUGCUUUAGCUCGUUUUGAUUGUUUGACUGCCUUUGCCUUUUUUUGCCCUUUUUUCUUUCUUCUUUGCCAAUGGAGUCUCCAAACCAUCCUGAUUUCUUUGCUGAUGUCCUUGCAAAAAUCCAGUCUAAGAAUACCGAGCUGAAGGCAACCCUUCUUCACAUGUAGCAGGAGCUUGCUUCACUUUUGGCUCAAGGAUCCAGCAAAGUUCCUGAACCGAAGGUGAGUUUCCCGGCAAAAUUUUUAGGCAAGCGUUCGGAGCUUCGCAGAUUCCUGAACCAAAUGGAGCUGAUCUUCGCACUUCAACAUCGGCGGUACCCCACUCUCGAGUCUCAAAUUGGCGCGAUUGGGAUGUUGCUCGAAGGUGCAGCUUUGUCAUGGUUUUCUCCUCUCCUGGAGAAGAGCAUGAAAGGGGUUGUGGUUCCGGAGCUGAUGGAUCUUCAAUUAUUCAAAGAAAAGCUCGAAGCAUAUUUUGGCAAGACGGAUCGGGUUCAGACUGCUACCACAAAGAUGAGACGUCUCUCUUAGGGGUCUUGUCCUACCUUGAUCUAUGCUGGAGAGUUCCAACUCCUUGCCUUGGACACUCAGUGGGAUGAACGGGCUCUGAUUGAUCAAUUUCGUUUCGGCCUUAACAACGGUGUCAAGGAUUUGUUGCUCACCAUGGAGGAUCCCACGGCCCUGUCGGACGCCAUCAACAAAGCUAUUCAAUGCGACAAUCGUCUCUUUGAACGUCAUCAGGAAAGUCGCUGCGUCGCCAUUUUCCCGUCCCAAACUCAGGAAUCCCAGCUUGAGUCUUCAGGGCAUACUCCUGAACCUACUGCUCCGGUCCCGAUGGAUAUUUCUAGUACUCCCCAACUCAUCAAAGGGAAGUUGAGUCCUGCUGAGAAGCAAUUCAGAUAUCUCAUAAUCUUUGCCUCUACUGUGCUGAUCCUAAUCACAAAGCAGUUGUGUGUCCCAAGAAGCCUCCCUGAUUGCUCGAGUUCACUCUGCCUCAAAGUCCACCUUUGUUGUAGUCAGGAAACGACUCUGUCCAAACAGAGUAGGAGCUGUCUAUUUGGACUCUCUGAAUAAAAAUCACUUUUCUUCUUUAUCAAGCUCCUCACCACUUUUCAUCAAAGCCAUCACCAAUUCCUGCAACUUUCGCGUCCCAUGUCUCCUUUCUUUCACCGGGCAAUCAGGACUCAAGGCUCUGGCGCUACUGGACUCAAGUGCAACUUCCUACUUCAUGGACACGGACUUUGCUGCUCGACAUCACGUUCCUCUUUCUCCUACCAUACGGGAUCUGAGGGUUGAAGGCAUCGACGGGCAUUUUGUGUCUCCAUCUUCUAGACUUAGGGAAACGUUGCCUGUUCGAGUACACAUCGGGUCCACUGUCACUGAUAUCACCUUCAACAUCAUCAGCAGCAAGUCCUUCUCUGUGGUGCUCGGCCUUCCUUGGUUCCAACUACAUCAGCCUCAGAUCUGUUGGAAGGAGUUACAGCUCAUCUCUCCCAUAUAACCAUCUCCUAUAGCUUCCCCUGCUGUUCAUCGAGUCCGAAUUAGGAAAAGUUCCCUACUUUCAAAUUAAGGUUCUGUUCCUGACUCUACGAAGUUUUCACCCUCUUCUUUUUCCUCUCUUCCAUCUUACACUAGACAGUAUCCUCGUCUCAUCAUUCCACUUAAUCUUAUGCCUCCUCCUAUCUCCAUAAUCACUAUGAAAGAACUCCUUCAUGAAGAACUUAUUUUCCUUUUUGCUUUGCAUGUUUCUCUUGUCAGUCUUCCUGAGAAGUAUCAUGAUUUUGGGAUGUGUUUGACAAAAAAAAAGCUAGUGUACUACCUAUUCAUCAGGCUUAUUACUGUCCCAUUGAUUUAUAGGAAGGAGCAUCACCUUCAUGGGGGCCUAUCUACGGGUUAUCCCUGUCGUAGCUUAAGGCCCUCAAAGAGUACAUGGAGAAGAACUUUGCCUCGGGGUACAUUUAGCAUUCGCAGUCCCUGGCUGGAGCGCCUGUCUUCUUUGUCAAGAAGAAGGAUGAGAGUUUGCGGCUAGUCAUCGACUACUGAGGUUUGAACAAGGUGACUAUUCAGAACCGUUAUCCACUACCCCUGAUUUCAAACCUGUUAGAAUGCCUUGACGGUGCCUGCUUCUUCACCAAGAUUGACCUCCGUGGAGCAUACAACUUGAUCCGGAUCCGGCCUAGUGAUGAAUAGAAGACUGCGUUCCAAACCCGCUAUGGCCACUUCGAGUACACUGUCAUGCCAUUUGGCUUGACAAAUGCUCCAGCAGUUUUCCAACACAUGGCAAAUGACAUCUUUCGGGAGUUUCUUGAUCAGAUGGUGAUCGUCUACCUCAAUGACAUCCUCAUCUACUCAAAAACUCAGGAGGAGCACAACGAGCAUGUGCGCAAGGUGCUGGCAAAGCUGUGGGAACACAACCUAUACACGAAGCUUGAGAAAUGUUCAUUCGAUCAAGAGUCUAUGGAAUUUCCUUGGGUACAUUGUCACUCUUGAGGGUAUCACGAUGGAUUUUGCCAAAGUCAAGACUAUUCUCGAAUGGGAGCCUCCACAAUCGAUGUCGGACGUUCAGGUUUUUCUUAGCUUUACCAACUUAUACUGCAAAUUCAUUGAUCAUUACUCUGACAUUGUCCUUCCUCUCAUAUCUCACUUGCAAGGAUGUUCCCUUCUCUUGGUCUGCUGCUACCCAGCAGGCCUUCAACACACUCAAGGCGGCCCUUAGUUCUGCUCCCAUCUUGAUCCAUGCUGAUCCCUCACAACCUUUCUUCAUCGAGGCUGACGCCUCCGACUUUGCCAUCAAUGCUAUGCUGUCUCAACUCGGAGCUGAUCAGAAAUUUCAUCCGGUCGCUUUCCAUUCUCGGAAAUUCUAGCCUGCAAAGAUCAAUUACGAAAUCCACCACAAGGAGCUCCUUGCCAUCGUGGAUUCCUUUGGAGAGUGGCGUCGUUUCUUGGAGGGGCGGGCCAUCAAACAACGGUCUGGAUAGAUCACAAAAAUCUCGAGUACUUUGCCACUUCCCGAGUUUUGAGCCGUUGUCAGGCAAGGUGGGCACAAUUCCUGAGUCGGUUUGACUUUGUAAUCAAGUACAGACUUGGAAAGCUUCAAGGCCUUCCUGAUGCUCUUUCAAGGCGCUCCUAUCUCAGUCUCAGGCCUGGUAAUCCUACAUUCAAUCAACAAGAUCAGUUUAUCCUCGGUCCUGAUCGGCUUCAAGUUAUGGCAAUUUCCCUGGCCCCUUAGGACUCCUCCUUGAUGGAUGCGAUUAGAAACGAUCUUCAAUCUGAUGACCUUGCCAGUGACAUUUUCCCCCAUCUUCAGGCUGGACACCCAGUGACUCCUGACUACCAGCGAUUUGAUGAGUUCAAGUCCUUAGAUGGCUUGUUGUACCGUGGGGAGCAGCUUUACGUUCCUGAAGGUGAUGUUCAAACGUUGGUCUUGAUGGCAUGCCAUGAUAGCCCGAUUGCUGGUCACUUCGGCAUUGUGAAAACCUAUGAGCUAGUUGCACGGGACUUUUGGUGGCCUCACAUCAACGACUACAUCAAAGCUGUUGUUACCUUCUGUGACACUUGCACCCGAAAUAAGGUACCUCACCACCUUCCUUUAGGUUUGCUUUGUUCCCUCCCAGUCCCUUCAGGUCCUUGGGAAUCCAUCUCCAUGGAUUUCUUGAGUGAUCUUCCGAGUUCUGGAGGCUUCAACAGCAUUUUAGUUGUGGUGGAUCGCUUCACAAAGAUGGCACAUUUCCUACCAUAUACCAAGGAGUUUUCGGGCAAGGACAUGGCAAAACUGGUAUUCAGGGAAAUUUCCUAACUUCAUAGGAUUCCUGUAGAUGUGGUUUCGAAUUGGGGACCUUAGUUCAUCUCUCAUUUCUGGCAACGGUUUUUGCAGCUGCUUGGAGUGAAGGCCAACCUCUCUUUGGCGUAUCAUCCUCAAACUGAUGGACAGUUCGAGCGAACGAUUUAGACGUUGGAACAAUUCCUGAGGUGCUUCAUCAACUAUCAUUAGGAUCACUGGUUCGAUAUCGUUCCCCUUGCUGAGUUCUCCUAUAAUAACUCUGUUCACUCCUCUCUUCAAGUUUCCCCCUUCUUUGCGAACUCUGGCCGAAAUCCCCAAUUCAAUCUCUCACUUCCUUCUCCAUCUGAGUCCUCUUGUUCAAAUCCCCACUCUGAGGCAUUUGUCUCUAACCUCCAGGAAAUCCACAACUCCAUCUCCUUCCACCUCCAUCAUGCUCAGGAAUCUCACAAAACAUUUGCCAGUGUCCAUCGUCAGGAUUGUCUCCCUUACAAUAUCGGGGAUAAAGUCUAGCUCCUCAGGCAAAAUAUCUCCACCACCAGGCCAUGUCCCAAACUCGAUUUCAAACGCCUCAGUCCUUUCCCUAUCACUGCCAUCAUUAAUUUUGUCACUUAUCACCUUGCACUUUCCUCUUCAUCCACCAGUGCAGCUUGAGGAUGGGUCUGAGUACGAGGUUCAGGACAUCCUUGAUUCCAAGAUCUCACAGUCUAAACUCUACUAUCUAGUCGACUGGAAGGGUUAUGGACCUGAAGAAUGCACUUGGGAACCUACGGACAACCUGAUUCAUUCUCCUGACCUUGUUCAGGACUUCCACUGUCACUAUCCUUCUCAUCCCAGUCCUCAUUCUUUUUCUCCAUCUCCCGUCCCUCGCCGCCCAUCUCAUCCUCCUCUUCAUUCUCAUUCACGUCCUCAUUCCACUCGUUCUUGAGGAGGGGGUGCUGUCAGGAAUCCCUCAAUUCUUACCACAUUCCUGACUCUCACCAGAUUCCUGACUUGCAGACCAUAUUCCUGACUCUCAAGACACUUCCUUAUUCCUGACUCUCUGAUUUCCCGUAUGAUCCUUGAGUCUCGAGCCACAUUCUUGAUGAUGAUGUGGCGUCUCCUCGACCUCAACUAUAUUUAGGUCAUCCUCGAUCCAAGAGUGGUAGAGCUUCAUCAACCUAUAGUAUAUAUAGGUUAGCUUUGUUCCAUUUCUCCACAAUCUGAAUCAACGCCAGUUAAAGGCCUCUUCUUCGUUUCCACUAGCUUUUCUCUUUGUUUUCUACAUUUUCCAGUCUUGAUCUUGUUGGGGGUCUUGACAAUCAUGGCAGUAAGGAAAGAGUGCCCGUAAGGAUUGGCCAACAAGUAUCUUUCAAUACCCGAAGUCACAUUUGCGACAGCAGUUGCUGUAUUUAAUAUUCAGUGUCCACAAGGCAUAAAGAAAGAUCUAUCUUCUCUUGAUAAGGUUCGCGAAGCUCAAAAGAUUGAGCCGUGGAUUUGAAGGUUUCAAGAUGGGUUUGAGAAUCCUACAUCACAUGCUGAUGACUUGCCUUUCCGGCAUUUACAUUCUCAAUAUCACCUUAAAGACGGCCUUCUUUAUUUUGUGGGGAUGGAUGUUGAUGAUCAUUUACUAUUGGUGGUGCCUUCUGUCUUUAUUCUGCAGUUUCUCCAUGCCUACCAUGAUUCUCUUGUUCUAGGUAGGCAUAUGGGACAUCGUCGUAUGAUUGAGAAGCUACACAGGUCUUUCUAUUGGCCGGAGAUGCGACGUGAUAUUAUCCAGUAUGUGCAUAACUGCAUUUGGUGCCAAGUUCGUAAUACUCCCCCUCGUGCCAUAGGACAGUUAGAGUAGAUUGUAGUUUCCCGUUCGUUUGAGUUGGUGGCAUUUGAUCUUAUGGGACCUUUUCCACAAUCGACUAUUGGUAAUGAGUAUGUUAUUAUUGCUUUUGACUACUUGACUUGUUAUGUGGAAGUUAGUGCUCUUGCUAACACCAUUGCAAUUGUUGUUGGAUACUUCUUCCUCAAUUGAGUGGUGUUCUAGCAAUCUUGUCCAUUCUUUCAGAUAAUGGUCCCGCAUUUAUGGCUGAGGCAUUUCAUGUUUUAACGUUUCAGUUGGGGAUACACCACACUUUUACGAGUGCUUAUCAUCCACAAUUAAAUAGUCUAGUGAAACGGCUCGUUCAAACGUUCAAAAGGAUGAUCGCGAAAUAUGUGAACUUUCAACAUUCGGAUUGAGAUGGUUAUUUACCGUUUCUUCAAUAUGCAUAUGUCACAUGGGUGCAAAGUUCUGUUAGUGCUUCACCAUAUAAACUCUUAUAUGGUCAUGAUCCAAUAUUACCAACAGAGCUAGGUUUACUUUCACGAUUGCCACAAGGUACUGAUACUAGGUCAUGUGAUAAGUAUUUGACGAGCAUUCUUCCAUUUGUCCAAGCAGAAUCUACUGAACACUUAGGCCAUUUACAAGUGGGACAAUAACGGCGCUACAACUCCCAUCAUCAUCCACCUGCAGAAUACAAAAUGGAUUACUUGGUGUUAGUCCAUUUUCCCCAUCUUAUGAUAUGUGGUUUAUCUAAAGGGCUCCUUGCUCAAUGGAAAAGACUAUAUCGAGUGUUGCGGCAAGUGGGACCACAAGUUUAUGAAGUUUGGCAUGAUGUCCAGCAGACUGAUCCUCCAGAGAUUGUGUAUGUGCAACAGUUGAAACACUUCAUACAAAGGGAUCAAGAGCAGUUAAUACCAUCUACUGAUCUACCAAUGUCUCCUCCUAAUGUUCUUUCAGAUCCUGGCCCAUCUACAAGAGAACCCUGAUGGUCUUCCAUUAUUCCGAGAGGAGGGAAUGAUGUGAGGGCCAAAUGUAUGGUUAUAAUGUUGUAUAUUAAUAUUAGCAUAGUGAGAUUUUGGUAGUCGUCCGAUUGGUUUCAAUCCAGACCACUCACUCUUGUAUAUAAGCUAGGGUUUUUGGGCUAAUUGAUAUGUAUAUUUUCUGUAUUCCAAGCACUCACAUUAUAAAAUAACUUCAUUUAACACUUAUUUAUUUAUUUAUUAAUUAGCUAAACAUAUAUUAAAGGUUUCCUAGUGAAAGUUAAUUUUAUUAAUAGUAUUAAGUUGAUUUAGAAAAUCACCACUAUUUUAUCCUAUUUACAUAUUUAAUUUGUGGAAUUGAAGGACUUGCAUGGAAAUAUCAAGAAUGAACAUUUUCAAAGAGUUUAUUAGACACUUUUAGUUUCUGAGCUAGUGCAAUAAUUAUUUUAAUUUAUAUUUUUUUUAAACAAAAUUUUUUGGUUAAGCAUCAUUAUUCAUUUUCUGUUGAUUAUUGAUGUUAAGAAAUAGGUGGGUUAUUAGUCAAAUCAAGAGGCAUCACCAUAUAUUUAAAACAAUUGUAAGAACUCAUGAGCCUCCAAAUUUUGAAAGAGAGCAUAAUUUAUAUGAACCAUUAAAGAACACUUGAAAAAUAUAAUAAAAUUAUAUAGAAUCUAUAUAUUAAUUUGUAAAAAUAAACAUGUAUAUAUAGCAUUUUCAGUGUGAAAAAACUUUCCUAGAGAUGAGUUGGAGAGAGCCACUCUUGAAACUGCCAAUUCACACAUCAUUCCCAGAGAGCAUUGCCACAAAUCCCCGAGCAAAGCUGAUGCUGACUUGCCCAUCUAUGUAGACAUCACUCUGAAAAACUUGUCAGUGAACCUCGUUAAGGGACUCUUUUAGAGAAUUGGAGCUGCCUGUCCUCAACCAAGAAACCUUGUAGCUUGUUCCCUCGUGUUUGAAGAUGCUGCAUUUGAUCGACCUGGUUCAUGUCCCACACUCAAUCCAUGACAUGAUAUGCAUGUUGAUCGGUCAGGCAAAUUCCAACCUUUGGAAAAACUUCAAUGUCGUAGAGCUAGUCAGGCACUACACAGUCGCUACUUGCCGAUGCUGUUUGGUCCUACUGCUACUGCUUGGUGCCGUUGCUUGGUGGUGCUGCCACUACCAGUUGUGCUGCCGCUGCUGAAGCUUGAGCCUCCCGCCUAAAUCCCAUUUGUGCUGUGCCCACCCUCGCCGCCUUCCAUGCCCUGGUCGCUAUCGUGGCUGCCGUAGUCGCGCUGUGACCUCUCCUGCCCUGCUGACGCUGGCUCAAAAUAUGGCUCAAGUAGCUCUAAAAACAACUAGUAGCUCUUACAAUUCUUUGUAAGAAUAAUAACCUUUGGUGCUAGUGAGGGGAAUAACGUUUUCAUGUGCAUAUCAGUAAGGCACAUUGUCCUUCUCAGACGUUCUGAAUGCAAUGAAAGUAAUGAAACCACAAAUUUUGCAGAGCUCUUCCUUGACAUUCUUGCUUAUCUCCGGUGUUUUCACUGCUAUACCAAACCAGUUUUCUGUAUCACGUAGAAACACGACCAGAGGUUUACAAGUCACUGAAAGCUGCUCAACAAAGAGGAGUUACUAAGACGUGUAGAAAAUUUACCUCUUGCAAAGCAUUAAUUCUGGUGCAAUAGCUAGAAUCAUUAGCCAACAAUUCAAUUUCUCCACCUUUUCCUGUUGUUGUUCUUUCCUUUUCAGAGUAAUCUUCAUCAUCACAGCACAGGAGAUUCUUCCAUUAUCAUUGCUAAUCUUCACAAUCACUUGCAUUUCUCAUUCCUUUAUUAUAGUUUACAUAUGUCAUGUUAUAUUCUAUUCACAUGAAUUGAUUUAAAUGAAAUAAGAUGGUGCCUUUGGUUUACGUUUCUGGUAGACGCCAUUGACGAUCUCCAUGUCUUUCUCCUUAACUUCACCAUAUUGCUGGUUCCAGGCCUCCAGUUGAGUAUUAACAAAGCGUGCCGUGCGGCAAACCUGCAACAACCAAACUCUCAUGGUUAACUUUCCAGUCAACUCAAAAGUCAAACCUUGCACAUUGACUUCUUAAAGUCAUCCACACACAAUGGUCGAAUUUCCACAUCGUCAUUUGCUUUCUCGUUGAGCUGCAAAGAUUUUGGAAAGUUUGAGAGAGUAAGAGUCAAAGUUGUAACUACCUCAGCUUCCUUAGCCAGAAGCUCCCUCACUGGCACGUAAGCAGCUGCAGUACAUAGGUUCUGUAUACAUGGCGAUACAAUUAGAGGUGUAAUCGAGUAAAGAUUUUACCUUUAAGUCACUUCCUGAGUAUCCAGUUGUUAAACGGCCCAGCUCCUCCAAAUCAAACUUCUUGUCCAGCUUCUCGCCUUCCAACAAAACCUUGAGGAUUUCCACUCGGCUUGACCCCUUCGGGAGACUGAUCAAGAUCCUGAAUCGACGGAGAUUACAGAUAGUUGCAACGGGGCAAGCUAAGAUCAGUAUUACCUUCUGGGGAGACGCCGAAUGACAGCUUCGUCAAGAUCAAAUGGCCUAUUCGUGGCUGCCAAAACCAUAACUCUCUUGUCAUCUUUGGUGCGAAGGCCAUCCCACGCUGUCAUAAACUCGUUCUUGACGCUGCGAGAGGUUACAUCCUCAUUUAGCUCGCCUCUUGCUCCUAAAAUGCUGUCCACUUCAUCCACAAAGAUAAUCGUGGGUGCGAGCUUCUCUGCCAGUGUGAAGACUGCCUUGGCCAACUUUUCGGCCUCACCGUACCACUGUGAUGAUAGUCAAGAUCAAACGCUAAAAUAUAAACACUUGUACCAUUGAGCUGAUUGUUGAGCUUGUGAUGCCGAUGAAUGUCGUGUUUGCUUCCGAGGCAAUAGCCUUUGCAAUGUGUGUCUUUCCCGUUCCUGGAGGCCCAAACAAGAGCAUUCCCCGGCAAGGCUGGAAGUUUUUGGAGUGUGAGAAGCUUUCGCAUAUGUGGUGAACUUGGAUUACCUUGAGUAAAUUUCCUUUGCUAAAUAGCUUUGGCCUUGUCAAAGGAAGGAUCACAAGCUCUUGCAGUGUGGCUUUUACUUUUUUCAAGCCGCCAACAUUUCUGAACGACACUCCAGUCUCGCCAGCAGCAAUCACACACGGCAAAAGCAUUUUUUCGUACUCGUCGUACGCUAUCUGCAUAUGCCCUAUUCAAUGUUAGCUUAGAGAAUGAACAUUGGCCCCUGCUUACAUUUCUUAACAUCUUAGUAGUUGUAUUCUUUGAUAUCUCCAAUUUGUCAACAGAUAACUGGAGACUGAUCAUCAAAUCAAAGUGAGAUCAUCAAAGAACUAAAUUCAAUACCUUUCUAAGGAUAAGGAAGUUCCGGUUGAGCCUUUGGAUGCUGAAUCCAAAGCUUGGGAAAUGUGGAUGUUUAGAGUGUGCCCUACGAUCCUCUCAGCCUCUGCAAAGUUUAAACACAACGUUACCCGGGUCGACUAAAUUUAGCGUGCCCUUACCCUUAUCAGUGAGAGAAACCUCAUCUGGGAUCUUGAGAUCUUUAACGCCUUUGCAUUCCCAGUUGAAAAGAUCAAGCACCUCCUCAAUCUUUUUAGUGUUUGUUUUAGAUCUAUACAUGGCAGAGUCACUCUUAAGCUCAUCUUGCCACUUUUGAAGCAUAUCCUUGUCCUGGAAUUACAAACAUAGAUUGGAGGUAGCCAUAGCUUGAAGCUACAGUGGUUUGAGGAUUGGGUUGAAGAGUUCUUACCUUUGGUGGAACAAUCUUCACCUUGUUCUCGAAUAAGCUGUAAAUGUCUUCAAGGUAAUAACCUGUGUGCCCCGGGCUUCGGGUGCACUUGUUCUGAACGUUAAUCCUCGAUGCAAUGAGUACUAUACCACCCGAGAGCAUGUCUAGCUUAUCCUGCAGUUUCUCAAGGAACUCUUUCCUCUGUGUUAUUGCCACAGCUCUCCGAAACCAGUCUUCCGGAUCAGGAAAGUACACCACCAGCCGUGUGCACCUCUCUAAAACCUUCAUAAGCGGGAGCAUUACAAGAUUUGCAAAACAAAUCUAGAAACUUGUACCAUUUGUAGAUGAUUGAUGACGUUGCAGGAAGAAUCACAGGACAAUUGAAGCUCCUCAGCUGCUUGAAAACAAAUCUAUCAAAACUUGCAAACAAAAGGUUUUACGUACGUCUACAAUAGGUAACACAGCUCGUAGAUUCGAAUUUUACAGCGACCAUGCUGCUUCUCGAAAAGACCACCGAACCCAAUUGUCCGUUUUUCAAAUUAUGUCUAUCAGUCCAGUAAACCACGUAGUGAAGCGAUGUAACCAAGUAGAAGUUUUACCUGUCAGGAUCGUUGCUUCCCACGAACUUGACAUAAUCUCCACUCUGGAUUAAUUGGGGCUUGUCCUAGAGUCGAAUAUUCAACUGUAAGCAAUCUCAGUUGGUUUAUGAAAUCACGCACCUUCGACUUUACAAACGCUUCAUCGAUUUCAUCGUUUUCUUGCCCGUCAUCAUCAUCAGCCUUGUUCUUCUAUUUAAAGUUUCCAAGGUUAUAGAAGUUCUAGCAGAAACGAUGCAAACGAUGCUUACUAUCUUAUAAGGCGACAACAGAUUCCCGUGGAGAGAAAGAAACGAAGCAUUGAGAUCCUUGGCCACAGCCAUGGCCAGAGUCUCUUGAUAGAUCUCCGACCCUGCAGAACAAAGGAUUCAUGAAAAGGGGUUUUCCUUGUCUAGAGAUUCCUUGCCUGGUGGUCCAUGCAAAACGAUCCUUGAGCUGGUGGAGUCUAGGACUUUCAUCCGUUUCAUCAAAUCAGGAUGCUGCAAAUGAGCAGUGGCGCAAUGGACGACCAUAUCUCGAGUUUCUUGGCUGCCAGCAACCGUAAGUUCUAGCCAGAACAAAAGUAUAGCUUACUCAAGGUAGUAAGGAAAGCUAUCCAGUGACACUGUAAGAUCAGUGCUUUUGACGAGCCUAUCCUCCCAUUCCUUUGGCGGUGGAUUAGUGUUUUUGACCUCCAAUUGCUUCGGUGGUGGAUCAGUGUUCUUGGCCUCCAAUUCCUUUGGUGGUGGAUCAGUGUUCUCGACGGGCCUAGCCUCCAAUUCCUUUGGUGGCUCAUCGCUAGAGCCCUUGGCUUUGAGAACUUUAGAUUUUCUUUCCCACAACCUGCUCAGCAUUUCGCCACCCUGAAACCUUAGGGCUCCAACUUAAAAUAUGUGAAUGUAAAAGGGAACGAAAAUGCAAAGCCCUAAUAGUCCACGCACGUGGCGAGUUAUUCGCUUGGCGAUCCAACGGUGGCCACCAGCCCGCCCGUCAAUUUGGAGAUCUUCGAGCCUGGCAACACGACGACGCGAGGUCUUUGUUCUUCGGAGGACUACCCGGCGCGAAAUUUCUCCUGCUUCUCCUUCGAUCUUCUCUUCUCCGCGGAUCUCUUGAUUCAUGAGCCUCGCUGCCGCGAGAUUGAUGAUUUCGGGAGCUGUGAGGCGCGGCGGCAUCGAAUUCCGUGUGAUUCUUGUCCAGGGUUUUGGAUGGAAGCUCCAGCUCCAGGCGUGUACAAGAUCUGCGGCAAGCUCUGGAAUGGUACGCUCUAGAUUCUCGCUGCUUGCUACAUUGGCCAUGGCGAUCGAUCCGGCGCUCGAAAUUUCCCAAAAUCUGGCAUAGAUUUCGAUGUUUUCAUGCUUGGAUUUCGUGUCGCGCAGUCGGCCCGAGGUACCGGCUCCACGAGCACAUAGGAUCUGGAUCUUAUGGAGAUGUUUGCCGUGCCACCGAUUGCCAGGCUUCGCUCACUGUGGCUCUCAAGGUACGAGCUCUUGGAAAAAUUAUAGCUCGAUGGUUUUCUUCCAGAGAGUUGGAGAUGUUCUUUGCUGUCCUCUGUUGGCCAAGAGAGUUCUCCGCGAAGUGUGUAUCAUGCGACGUUUAUCCCAUCGAUAUGUCAUCACAUGUAAGCCAGUUUUCCUUACUUUUUCUUUCCUUUUUGCUAUAGUUCUCAUUGUUCCCUUUUUAGUGACGGAUGUUUUUAUAAGUAUGUCCAUGGAAGUCUCUGGCGGAAUCGAUCUGUAUAUCGCGACCGAGUUUGCUGACGGGUUCGUCGAGUAUUUCUCUUUUUCACAGUCUAUCGUUUGACGCGUUUUGUCCGGGAUUUGUUUACAGCGGUGACAUGUAUCAUUUGCGAGAACCAUUAACGCCACAACAUGUAAAGUUUUUGAUGUGGCAGUUGCUCACUGGCAUGAGCUAUAUCCAUUCAUGCCGUGUUUGGCACAGGUACAGAAGCUCACUUUUAGCGAAUGAAACUUGCGCUGAUUCUAUGGAGUCACAGGGACUUGAAGUCCGAGAACAUACUUUUGAUGGCCGAUAUGUCCGUUAAAAUCUGUGACUUUGGCCUUUCACGGUCUGCCGAGGAGGUAAAACUAAGAUAGUCACGGGCUAGAAAUCUGAAAUCACCUUCUUUUGCAGUCCGCAAAUACAGAUUUUCAGACUGGAAUCACAAGCGGGAGAAUUUUGAAUGGUCGUAAGUCCCUGACCAGGCAAUACACGAAGAUGGUAAUAUCUUCUUCCGCUUGUGUGACCACGGCAUUCUGAAACCGCAACAGGUUGUCACUCCCAGCUAUCGAGCACCUGAAGUUAUCAUGUCCCGUGGCCAAUACAGUUCUUCCAUUGACAUGUAAGUACUCGAGGCUGCAAUUUACACACCCGUAGGCUGAAGAGAAAUUUUUUUUUGCUUUUUAUGCAGAUGGUCACUUGGUUGUAUUUUCUGGGUAAGUGUUAGCAGCAACGAUAUCACGAUUUUAAAUGCUUGUUUUGUGCAGGAAUUGUUGAUACGGUCCAUCAAUCCAAAUAUGACGGGUCCUCCACUGCGGCCUUUGUUUGGUGUCCGGUAAACACUAGCUAUUCAAGUGUUGAUUCUCAAGAAUGUGCAAACCAGGGAAGAACCAGUAACACCAGGACAAGGAGUGAGCUACACCACUGAUGGACACUCUCCUCUUCAUGAGCAGGUUCUUACUCUUGUAAUUGUUCUUUUUUCUGACGCGCGAAACUGCAGUUGGAUGUUAUCUUUAACGUUAUUGGAACUCCUGGAUGGAGCGACAUCGAGAGCGUUCCGAGCGAGUCCUGGAGAUCGUACUUGAAACAUCUACCGGGAAGAGUAAGUAGUCUCUUCAAGUUGUAGUGAUUUUCUAUCUUUUUCUAUGUGUUCGUCUUUUUUGUGUGAGGGGUCUUGGAUUCUCACGGCAUUCUGACUCUUUCCAUAUUUUCAGGCAGGAAAUCUGACUGAACAAUUGUUAGGAUACGUCGAUCAAGAAGCUUUGGAUCUUCUUUUCCGGAUGCUUGCCUUCAAUCCUGGUCGAAGGUGCACUGCCGAGGAAGCACUCUCACAUAUUUAUGUAAGUAAUCGUUUAUAUUUUGCCUUCUCAUACAAGUAUUCUAUGUAGUUCAAGGGACUAGAGAGGUCAAAUGGACUUUUGCCGCCUGCAUUCGAAGCCACUGCUCCAGGAGAAUCCCUCUGGAACAUCAAGGAUCCUGCGGUAGCCCUGGAUAUUCUAGAGGUUCGUAACUCCACAAUAGCAUACGACUUUCAUGUUUAAUGUGUUGUAAACGCAGAGAGAGCUAGAGGCGUCUGUCUACGAAAAAGAUGGUGGCCGACAGAAACUGGAAAGCCUUCUUCAGCAAGAAAUAGUGCAGCAAAGGCAGCAAGAACUGUUUCGUCACUCGUUGGAGUAUCUGAGGCAAAAUGCGGUGCCACUCUCCUCCAUUCUUCCUCCUCCACCGUCACAGCCCGACUUCCGAGGUCAAGGUUCUACGAGAAGCGUUCUACUAUAUGGCGACGAGAUCUUAGGAUCCAUGCAGAAGAAUCUUCCGCCAGUUCCGAUGACUACACGGGUGACACGAAGUUCUGCCGCUGCCGCUGCCGCUGCUGCUGCUGCUGCUGCCAUCAACGUUGAAAAAUCUUCGCAAGCGAGGGCCAUGCGAAGUAAUAAAGCGCCGAGGGAGUUACGGACACAUCAGGCAGUGGUGAACGAGGAACCCAACCAGACAGAGGGUCUUCCUCGACGAUCGCCACGUCUGCGAGAUCUACAAGCCGGUGAUCUUCCCCACCGAAAGAGACUUUGUCUCAAAGCUGGCUGACUAGCAACUGGAUGACACGAUACAGUACUAGCAAACAGAGAGCCGACUCUGGAUUCGAGCAUCAUCGUGUAGCAGAAGAACAGUGUUGAAGCCUGAUAGAGCCGAGGAAAUCCUCCCGGAAAUGACAAAUGGCUUCAAACAGGUACACUGCUGCUUCCCUGCUAUUGUGAUACUUGUCUGCUUCCUUCGUUUGUUUUCUUUCGCUUUGAUACCACAUGGAUUUCUGAUACAGGAAGGAAACAUGGCCGCCGCGAAAGGACAGACAACAGAAACAGUUUUCUUCUCGAGUGAAAGUUAAGAAGGCUGUUAUGAAUGUGUACAAACGAUCGAUCGCUUCUGAGGUAUAUUGAUUUUCAUGGAUUGCUCAAACAAACUUCGUGUUGUUUUCUGGAGAUUUUUUUUUUCUCUUCUUCCUCGGCUAUGGAAGAAAGAAGCUAGCUAGUACACUGGUCAGGUGCGAUUCCCAUUUGCUCCUUCUGGUUAUCAAUCGAGAUUCUAAACGUUUGCUGCUGGACAUUUCCGAUGAUGCUGAAGGCCUCCUCCUCAGGAGCGAAGGCCAGGCAGUACGUCCCCUCGUCAUCCACAUUGACGAGAAUUCCAUCGGCUGGAAGCGGCAUCGAGGCACCACCAUCGAAGUCGAGAACCACAGCAGGCAGGGUGGCCGUCUUCAUGGAUGAGAGAUCAUAGCAGGUGUCGAAGAGAGAGAUCCCGGGGGCCGAGGGGAAAGUUACCAGCGACCGAAACGCAUCGCGUAAAGCAGUGUAAGCCGGGGUGGUGAGCCUGGAGAUGGCGGUGCCAGAGUCGACGAUCACACCACCAGUGCCUCUGGAACCCAUGGCAAACGCAUCCGGGGGGAUGUUCACAGGCGAGCCGGCAACUCUGAUCCUCGCGAGCCCAACGUAGUAGUACGUAUCCAGCCGCCGGUUGGGAAGCAGCUUGGUGAAGCGAGCUUUCUCCGGGACAGCGCUGGGACCGAAAACGAGCGACGCAGCUAUGGCGGACUCCCUCCUGGGAAGGCAGUAGGAGAAGACGCUAGCGUAGGAGGUCCCCGUCUGGGAUGGAAACGAGAGUGGUCCUCGUCCCAGGCCGAGCAGCCCCGCGGCGCCGUGGAAGAGCCCCUGGUUGUUCCUGCCGCAGCCCAUGGCGACGCUACGCACGGCGUGCUCGCCGAAGGAGAGCGUCUCGGUGGAGAAGUCGCCGACGGUGAAGGAGCCAUCGCCGUAGCUCACCUGGUACAUACACUCGUUCUUGCGGCUGCAGCCUUUGAUCUUGAGCUUGCCGCAGAUGGAGCUGGCGCAGGCGAGAGGCUUGAACGAGGAGGAGAGCGAGGGGUUGAAGAUGGGGUCCUGCUGGCGGUAGCACUUGCGGCAGGGAGAGCACUGGAGCCAAGAGACGUCGCUGCCGGUGUCCGCCACCAUGUAGACGCUGCGAGCCGGCGUCCCGACUCCAAUCCGAGCGAAGUAGUCGCCGCUGCCGCCAGCUAUGCCAGAGAUGAGUGGCGACGCGAAUCCUCGUCGAGCUCCUCCGUGGCCUCGUCCUCCUCGUCCAGAGGCUAGCCCUGCUACUGCGAGAGACUCCGACUGGCCUGGGAGAGGAUGGCGGAGGUCGGACUUGCGCCAGCCAUUGGUGGCGAGGGCGAUGGUGGCGGCGAUGGCUUUGCUGCGGAGCUCGUCCUUGCGGAGGCGGGCGAGGAGGAGCUGCUUGGUGGUGGCGUUGCUUGGGCGGAGCGGGGAGGAAGGGGCGUCGCGGUGGAGCAGUGGGACGCUGAAGCUCAGCUCGUCCAGCGGCGCCUUGGCGGCGGUGGCGGCGGAGGCGGCGGCGGCUUCUUCUUGCUCCUCAACGGCUACGACUGGCGGCUUGGCGAUUUGGAGCGUGACAAAGUCGGGCUGGCUGAAGGAGGAAGAGACCGCUAGAAGAUUGAGGAGCAGCAGUAGCAGCAGCGGCAGCAGCGGUUCUAGAGCUCGUCUCCACAUUGCUGGAAGAAGAGGAGGGAAGAAGAACAAGAAAAACAAUCCAGCAACGAGUGCUACUACUACUACUCGCUCGCCUCCAAGAACAAAGAACACCGCCAACGAUCUCAAUCGAGCAGCUUUAAAGAAUUCUCGCCUCUCUCGCCACUCCACAAGGGGACGACGAAGAGGAACGAACUAAACAAUGUUUAAUAGUGCAUACAUACAUUGUUCUAACGGCUCGGCCCUGACCGUUGAUGCUGACAAUCCGACCGGUAACAUGGCUCCACGAGGGCGGAAUCAACGGUUCCUGUCGCGGCACCUCGGCGGCAUAUUCGUCGAGCACUAGCCAUAACUUAAUCAGGCUAAUGAAACUUAAGCAAGCUGGAGACAAUGGUCAAAUUUUUUCUGAAAAAGAAGGCCCUUUGUUCUUGAUGUUGGCUGUCUUUGUGACUGAAAGACACAUUUGUUGGAUGAAUGCAAUGCACCACCACACCCCUGCACACAACUUUGCUUCAUAAAAACUUAUAGUGAGGGACACAUGAAUUCGGUGCCCUGGUGUAUUCUAUUCAUUAAAAAAUCUUUGCUUUUCUAACACUGGAGUUCCUCCAAACAAAAACACCUUAGAUUAGCCUCGAAAGAUUCUCAUAACCAUAUGUUAUUUGGCACUGGGGUGGUUUUAUACUUUUUACCUACUUUGUCUUUUCUUCUUCUGGCUCUCAUCUCACUUUAUCCUAUUGAGAUUUUAUAGGUUAGAGUCCCAUGCUCCUCAGUUGCGCUGUAAACAUUUAAGUUAUAUAAAUAUCAAUAAACAUGAGAGUGAUAAUGUUCUACUCCCUGACUAUGGUAUAAGAUAUCACAGUUAGGAUCUUAUGUUUCUAGUAGAUAAUAUUUACACACAGUAUCAGUAUUGGUAAAGAUUAAAUUUAUUAAAACGCACAAAAAGAAUUGAGUCCCCAGAAGUAGUGCUCUCUGUACACUCUACAGAUAUUUGCAAUGCUUUUUUCACAUGUUGCCAAGUGCGGGACUAAGUAGUGCUCUCAACGGCCUGCAAAUGGCGAUGUUGCUGCUGCUUGCCGAAAGAAAGGCUCAGUGGCCACUUGCACUUGUAUCUGUUCUUGAGGAUCCUGUCGAUGCAUUUGUGGAGAGAAAGAGUGCUGUGGUGGUGGUGGUGAGUCUUUUGCAAGGCUGAUGAAUCCUCUGGAAAAAACAAGAAGAAGUCUUAGCCCCAGAAUCGAGAAUCAAAGAGCUGAGAGCUUUCCUCUCUACCUUGAGAGAGUGCUGCUAGUGCAUGGUGGUGGUGAUGGCUCCUUUUCUUCUUCUUGAGCGUCCUUGGCCCAAGCCCAAACGCAAUGCCGUUCUUGCUCCUGUAGCAUUGGAGCUCCACGCUCUGGACGUGGCCGAGGAGGUCCCCCGUGUAGCUCAGUGCGUUUCUCUCCAGGCUCUGCACGAUCCAUCUCGCCUCCUGGCUCAGCUUGUUCCCGGCCGACUCCACCUCCGCUCCAAUGCGACUCACAAACGCGUCCGCCUUGUUGCUCAUCUUCUCAAGCGUCGCCACCGUCUUCAUCACCAUGUACACGAGCGCUAGUGUCAGCAUCCCCAGCCACAAAUCAUCCAUAGCUGUCGUCUCGAUCCUCAUGGUCGCUCUGCUCGGGGAUUCGGAGGUGGUCGUGGAAGAAUUUGCUCGGGACUCGAUCGAUGAUAGAGUUGAUCGUGGAACUUAGUAAGCUUGCAAACAAGAGGGGGAAGAAGAAGUGAUCAGCGACGGAUCGAUCGACCUUCUAAAACUCUGGACGAGCAAGCCGAACCUGGAAAGAGUGUGCUGCGGAGCAGAAACCUUUAUACGGCGAGAGCCCGGCCGACCGGUCUUUGUUUUCGCGCACUCUCCACUCAUGUCUACUUCAGAAAUUGGCUGCUAAUCGAAUCUCCUGGAAAAAAAAUACCGUGAGGCUGGACCACAGGGUAAUAUAGAUUAAUCACAAGAUCGCUCGCAUGGCGAUCUCCUCCCUUAAAAAUCUGCCAAAGGCUUACCCUCCAUUGGGACUCUCAGACUUUUGGACCGCCACUCAAGCCGGACGUGUCGCUCAACCAGGCCCUUUUACGGAGUCCUGCCACACCCAAACACUCAAAACUUCGUUUGUCUCCAAGGAAGGAAGAAAUGACCACUACUUACUUGGGCAAAGCUUUGCAAACCUUUGAUUUCUUGAUUCGGUGGGUCUGGCAAAUUCCUCAUGGGGAAAAAAAAUCUUUGUACGCAUUCCCUUUUCAAUGAUGGAAAACGAGCCUUGGAGAACGUUUGAGCUGUAUCCCAAAAGCACCGGCUCUGAAUGCUUGGCAAAGAUUCUUUGCUUGGACAACCGGGAUCGAUGGUUUUCUUUGUUUGUUUUUCCAGCUUGCAUUCUAAACGUGACGGCACCAAAGAGCGACGUAUGGAUUGUAUGGAAAAUACGAACACACGAACCUUCUAUGAAGCUCUUUAGCAAGUUCGCGUCGGGAGCUCCAUAGCGACGCGUGGAAACUUCAAAGUACUGUAUGAGAACGCUUGCCAAAAGGUAGAACCUCUGAUAACUGGAAAUCCCAGACAAUCAAUCCAGCGCGAAAAGGCAAUUAGAACAGCGUGGAUUCCAUAAGAGUCGGGGUUGGAACUUAUCUGUCUGUGAUGUCGAUUGGGAAGACAAUUCUCUCCAAUCUACACCUUUGUUGUUGCAUUAUUUGCGAGUCACACCAUGAUGAUGUCUAGGCUCUCUCUUUCAGUUGCAUAGCUGCUGAGCUCCGGGAGAACACCACAAACGCAUUUGUUCUCUUCCUCCAAGUGCAUUUGACAGGACUACCUGAGAAUAGACAUCAAAAUCAUCAUAGAAAAUCCGAUCAGGUAGAAUCGCAUCGAUUCAAAGCUGGUGUGCAGGACUUUAACAAGGUACAAGCUUACGUAAUAGGAUAGAUAUUACCUCUACAGCACCUAGCCCUCUCGAAACCAAUUCAAGACAAACAUAAGCCAUACCUUGGUCGAGGGAGACACGGUCUUUGAAAACUUAAGUGCUGAUUUCUUGAGCCUCAGCCGAUUAACACGAUGUAAGCCAUAGUAAAGUAUCUGUCAUACCUCAAGGUGUCUAUCAUCGGACUGAAAUAUAUGUCCUAGCAAGAACCAAAGCAUACCUCUAAAGACAAGUCCUGCAUUCAUGAACCAUGUUAGCACAGGAAAGUGUAGAGUUAUAAACAAGCUUACAUAAGUACGACGAAAGCUAAUUGCGACUUCCUGAAAAAUCACAAAGGAACCAAACUCAUCAGGGGCAUUGAAAGUGUCUAAAGCGAUAGAAAUCUGCAAGAUCGCUACCCAAAGCUGUGGAAGCUACAUUUACCUGCUUGAUUCGCAGGAGAUCGCUGGAGAGGCUACGUACUUAACAUAUUGCUUCGAGCAAUGGCUAACGAGUCCCCAGGAACACAAACGGACUGUGAUACCAUGAACUUUUGAGUCAUUUUGAGAGAAUCCUCUCCAGUCUGGAAUGUUGUUGUUUUCUAGUGACUCGGAGGAGAGGUGAACACCAGGGAUGCAUUCGUUCCUCCAAAGCCAAAUGAAUUUGACAAGACUGCGUGAAUGGACAUAGCCUUUGUAGAGCCGAUGGGUACAAAGCCGUCGUGGAAAACCCGAUCGGGUAGAAUCAGAUUCAAAGUUGGCGGAGCUUGCCCCUGAGAAAAAAUUUCACGACGAACGUAAGGUUACAUGGGGAACUAAGGUACAGGCUUACGUGAUGUAGCGCCAAAACUGAGAAGAUCGCCUCUACGGCUCCAGCAGCCCCUAGGAGGUGUCCAGUGGCUCCCUGCAAACCAAUAUAAAUAAAGCUCAGUGGAGUCCCAGAAGCGCCAUACCUUGGUCGAGGAAAACGCAAGGUUUCCAGUUACUGCAUGCUCCUUAAAUACAGUUUUGAUGGCCACAGCCUCAACUUUGUCACCUAUGCUUCAAAUCAACAAGCUUUAAAAGAGCAGCAGGAAUCUUUGUCAUACCUCGCGGAGUCGAUGUUGCGUGAGCAUUGACAUAAUCGAUUUCAUUGGGUUUCAGUCCGGACUAACAUGAAAUCGAGGUUAGAUCUGGGUUUCGCUAACAAGAACGGAAGCUCACUUGCUGCAAAGCUCGAUUCAUAGCCAGAACAGCUCCUUUCCCAUCUUCAGACGGUUGAGUGAUGUGGUGGCCGUCACCUGGAAAACACAAUAUGUUAGCAACAGCAUAACCAUAGUGACGAGGUACCCGACAUCCCAUAUCCACGGAUUUCCGCGUACAUUUUUGCUCCUCGUCUUUUUGCAUGCUCAUAUUCCUAGAAACAAAUCAGAAGUGUUUUUCUCAAUACAAAUCUUACCUCAAGAAUCAUAAUGCCCGCACCUUCUCCAAUCCUAUACUUACACGAGUUAGCCUCAAACACAGAAACAUCCGCACUCACUUACACAAAACCUUCACGAUCACUGUCGAAUGGCCGUGAAGCACGUUCGGGACAUGCGUUGAAUCUAGUACUUAACGCCUUUGCUCUGGGCAAGAUAAAAGAAUAGAAGAGCAUUAUAUAUAAUGUCACUAAGAAAACGAUUGCAAACACCUGCAAACCUGGAAAAGCCCGCUAGUGAAAGCGCAUCGAUGCUGGCCUCCGUUCCACCUGCAAUCAUAACAUCUGCAUCUCCGAAUCGAACCAUUCUGAAUGCAUCUCCAAUUGAAUGAGCACCACUCGCGCAUGCAGUUACUGCCGCAUGGUUGGGCCCCUGACAAGAAAAAUAGUUUUCAUACGCACAGGGACUAAAGAUCUUUCCUCCCACCUUCAGCUUAUACUUUAUGCUAACAUUUCCCGCGGCCAUGUUUAUCAAGAUGCGAGGAACGAAAUAAGGACUUAAUCUGUUACUCCGCUGGCGGCAUACAAACAAGGUAGGCACAAACAAAACCGAUGGAAAAACUCACAUAAUCACGAAUGAGCUGGGCCGCCUCCAAAACAUCAGUUAUACACCCGAUGCCACCACCUAUUGCCACACCCUAGAGAAUUAAGACAGAACCAUUACGUUCUUCUCAAUGCUUGAGAUGAAGAAAAAAGAAAUCGCGCGUAAAAAGAAAAAGCUACCGUUCUUUCGCUGGCCUCAUCACUCUCGGAAGGAUUCCAAUCCGCGUCAGAAAGAGCCUCAGCAGCAGCACACAUUGCGUAAGCAAUGAAGGGAGCAAACUUCUGCUCAGUAGAAGAAGGAAAAAAAAAAGAAGCGUUAACAAAGUAUGAACUCGAAAUUCCAGAAGCCUACCUUCUCGGACAUCCACACAUUUGCUUUGAAAUCCCCGAGUCCCGUGCCGUAGGGAACAGCAGCCACGACAUGAGAAGGAAGAUUAUUCAUUACCGCGGCGCGAAUCGUUUCAUCUUCGUGUUCCAGCCUCAAAUCAUCUUGUUUGAGCGCGCGCACACCGCAUUUCCGGUUGAGAAGCCUCUCCCAAGCGUAAUCUACUCCACAUCCCAGCGGCGAUACCAAUCCUAAUCCUGCUCAAAACAGUUUUUCAUCGAUUCUCUUGUGAAAUCCUUACCGGUAACAACGACGCGCCGCUGCAAGAGGAUCGGAGGCUCUCCAAAAUCCUUGAUCGACGAGGACACAGUGCCCGCGGCUCUCGCGCGCUUCACGGAGAGAAAUCUCCGCAUUCCCGAGCCCUAAACCCUAAGCCCCAGGACACACGUGGCAUAAGCUAAGUAAAACAGGUGGUUAGAUUAUAGCCGUUGAGUUUCAAAGCUGGAUCUUUGAUAGAUAGUAAGGCAAGCCCAUCUCUUGCAAGGGGACGCCCAACGCCGCUAGUUUAACCUCGAAAGCCUUGACGAUAGAAUCGUGUGCCUGGAAGAAUUUGCGAAGAAUGAGAAGAGUUGUCCUACAAAGAAGCUAGAAUUAAAGCUCGUUACCUUUGUAACUCUUCCAAGCUCGUAAUAGAGAGACUUGAUUUGCUGGUUCUUGGUUUCUAACACCUUGUCAAACUUGUAGUCCACUUUACCGGGUUGGAGUUUCCCGGCGAGUGAUUCACCAAGUUGAGCCUCCUGAAAAUUUAUAAAAUGAGAGAGAAGAUCACUAAAAGAUGUACUAGAUCAAGUACCUUCUUUUCCAAUUGUUCUUGGACAACAUGGAGCUUCUUUUCCAAGAGCAUGCUCUUAAGGCCACACUUCUGUUGGACAUCGAAAAUGCAAGACUCGAACCUGGCGUAGAGAUCGUCUUUAUCUUCUUGAACCUGGAGAGGGAGUAUAAGUUCGUCAUGACGAAGUAUUGCUUGCUUUGCCUUGUCCAUUUUCUCUUGUAGGCUCCGGUACUGCCAUUCAAGAUGUUUUAUCUGUUCGAGGGUGUCGGCGUAAUGAACUCUCAGCUGUUGGAGCGCUUGCCUAUCCUGGUUGAAGUUCAAGAGCUAAAAGUCCACCAAAGAUUAAAAAUUACCUUUUCCAAGACUUGAAUGUGCUUGCGAAGUACAUCCAGUUCUUUCAGGGCCUUCGUCAGGGGCUCCAUUGAAUGCUUGUUUUCCUGCGCAAUCUCGUACAUGAAUUUCUCGUUUGCUUGCUCCUUCUUUUUCAUGUCUGUAAUGUCUUCCUACAGGCAACGAAGCGGCAAUUAUAGCGAAUACGACAGCUUGACGAGAUGUUUGGCACCUUGAGCGUCUUGAUGAGAUCUAAGUUGUUCUGCGUGAUGUCAUUGUAGUAGAAUUUAAUAUCCGCAAACGCUUUUUCGUGCUUCUUCAUGAGCUCAAUAAUAUGCUGAUUUUUUCGUUCUUCGAUCUCAUGAACUUCCUGCUUCUUUCGGAGUUCCGAGUCCUCCUCGAUUUUCUUGCACUGCACACGUAGACAGAGUGAGCAAGCGCCUGAUCAAACCGCACUCACCGACUUUUCUUUCAUUACUCUGAACCAAGUCCUUAGCCUUCGCGUCAUACUCUUGCCUGAUCAUGCUAAUUUCUUUGGCGUGAUCCUGAUUGCACACCGCUCAGCCACAAAAAAAAAAAAAAAAAAUCAUUUUGAAUUGCGCUACUCACCAGCUUGAGCUGUCUGAUCGUAUCUUCGUAUCCAAGCUCCACCUCCCUGACCUUAGAUUUUAAAAGACGCUGUUCAUCCCUACAAAAGUCCGAGCCUUUACGAGAUAUGAUAUGCAACGCGUUUUUUUCACACAAAAGAAACCUUACAAGAGCUGAUGCUCUCGCGUUGCGGCUUGUUCAGCAAACAGCUUCAACGCGAUCUCAUUGUCACCUUUCACUGCCCCUAUGAUACCUUGCUGCUCGUACUGAAGAUGUCUGGUCUUUUGAUUGAAAACCUGGGAGAAAAAAAAGAGAAAAUGAGAUAGAAUCAUCCAGAGAAUAGUCAUCCUCUCCCUACCUGCAUUUGCACCCGAUGCCUUUCCUCGAUGCCCUGGAUGUCAUGAUCUUUAAUGAACAGCACCGCUUUGCAUUGGUCAACUUCCUUCUUUUUGAGUUCAUAGAAUGUGUUGAGCUUGUCCUGGAAACGUAAUGAGUUUAAAACGCAAGGAAGAAAAGUGUAGAGUAAGUAUGAUUACACGCUCAAUCUGGACACGGUUGCGUGCCCGUUCCUCCUUUUCCUUUUCGGCAUUUAGAGCACGAAUUUUGCCUUCGAGCUCCUGUGUGCUGGGGGCAGCAGCAGCCUCUUCCACAGCCGGCGCGGGCUCCUUACCUUUGGGCGCCAUGGAAUUCUAAACUGCAAAACCUACGAGUGUUGCUUGAGAGCUCAUCCCCAAGCAACGUGGCCGGCUGAAGCUGAUGUGGCCAAUACAGUUAUGUGUCUUUUUCCGAGAACAAAGGAAGAAAAGAGCAGACUUACAUUAAAGCAUUCGAGCGACUUGCUCGUACAGAUCGUGCGGCCAAUUUCUGGGCACGGUGUUUGCAACAAAUUUGGCGAUCUGCGCAGACAAAACUGUUAAUCGUUUCGCGAAAGCAAGAAACUGGUUUACCUUAGCCUUGAGAGUGCGCAUAUGGCCAUCUCUAUCGGGAACAUUAUCAAGGCAGAUCAAAGCCGCCUUGAGAAGAUCAGGCACACAAGCUUGAACAGGAGGAGAUAUGCUUCUCAGGUCUUCGGCACUCUUUUCCGGUGUCCAUGGAGUCAGUGGAAGAAAUGACAGCCUGGGAAGCUCAGCGAUCGCGUCCGGAUAUCUCCCCAGGCGAAACAGUUUGUGGAACGCUACGAUUCCUUCAAGUUGCCGGAAGGAAACUUGCUGCUCUGUUACUUGUUCAGCCUCUCGCGAGCUGCAAACUCAUGAAAUUGUUAGUAGCCAAAAUCACGACCAAAUGGCCGGUACCUUCCAGUUCCGCUUCCAGCUUGCUUUUUGUAAGUCUCCGCAAUGUCGUUCCCAGCAAGGAUAAGGCCUGCAACUUUGGCCUCUCCAUCUGCACGGCCAGUGGCCAGUGCGCAGAUUGCCUCAGAAAGCCUGCGAGUUACUAUUUCUAGAGCCAUUGCAAAGGCUCCAACACGUUUCAGCAACUCGAUAGCCUGGAACAAAAAUUAAAAAUCAAUACAGACUCGACGAAUUGCUACUUUACCUUCUCGUAAAGGCCUGACUCUUGAGCAUGUCGUGCAGCUUCAAGUAACAUCUGCUGCUGCAUAGUGGGAUCGGGCAAAAACCUUCUCAACGCACCUUCCGACCCGAUGCCGUUUGAGCCUAGCAGAAGUGCAAUACCACCAUCUCUUAGAAGAAGCUCGAUGAGUAGCUGCUUCAACAUCAUGUUCCUUUGCCUCUGCUGAUCAUUACUGUUCUGUCCGCUCCAGGAAAUAGCGCCACCUCCAAUGGCAGCAGCAGCCUGAACGUAGUACUCCAAAGCCGUCGCAAGGUUGUUUUGCCGGACAUAUGAAAGUCCAUAGUGUCGGAUGAUGCUUGUGAUUUCUCCAACCGGACUCAUUGUUCCAGGCUUUGCUUUGUUCGACGCGCCUUCUGAAAGGACACCAUGGUCUGCCAAAGCAAUGGCUAUAUGCACACCGUCUAUAUGGUCCCCGUCGUUGCUGAUCUCUCUUGUAAGAUAAAGGAUGGCCGCCUGGAGUUGUAAGCUUAAUAGCAGAACGUAAGGAUAGACCAAAGGAUCUUUGCCGUUCUUAGUAUAGUAAGAUGGCUCGAAUUUGGUCAGGUAGUUCUGCAAAUCCUCCAAAGUAUAAGGUACUAAUCCAUCUUGGGGUGCUGGACCGCAGUCCCGAGUAAUAGAAAGCAUAAACCACAUAAAGUCCUCGAUCGUAGUGAAUAGCACAGGAAUGUCCCGUAGAAGACGUUCAGCUUGCUGCCUGCUACCGGAAAGAACAGCAUAUAGAAGCAUUUUCUUCUUAUCGUAUCCAGCACGACCUGGCCUGUCCCCAAUCCGUGCCAUUUUUUCACAUUCCUCAAAGGCGGCCGUUGCAGUAGCAGAAGAUACUGCUCCUCCCGUGGCGAUCCACUCCGUAAGCUGCAAGUUUGCUAAUCAGUAGCAGCGCAAUAGAAGUUUAAACGUACCAGUGGAGCAUACGAACGGCUAGCUCUAGACGACUGCGCCACAAGUUUGGCUUCCUCAUAAUAACCAGAUCGGAGGCAAAAAUAAAUCUGCAAAACCAGUCACACAAUAAUCUGCUCAGUUGUUCGAACUAAUUGUUUUAGCAGUACCUGGUACCAAGUAGUAUCAAUUGGCGGUUGCCUAUGUGUAUCAGUAGCAUCGAAGUCUAACAAACCAUAAUCUCUUAGCCGGACCUAAAGAAACUCAAACACGUCAGGUAAUCUUUUGACACAACUUAAGAAGAUACGCACGCGCAAAAAAGCUCGUACACGUUGUAAGUUUCCAGUAGAUCCUCCAAGUGCUGCCUGUUAGAAUCCGUAAGCAAACAUUACGUUCUUGCAACAGAUCAAAGGUCACCUGAGCAGCAUGACUUUGUAUUGUGUCCAGCAUAUACUUUUCAUGACCAGCUUCCAAAUGGCGGCGGGCACCAAAAACCAUUUUCAUCUUUCUACUAAGAUGAGAUGGAUAUUCGAAGUCCUCACCUAAAAGAGACUGACAACGCGGACAAAUGUAAGAAUGCUUCAGUUCUAAAGAAACCGCAUACCUGAAGGAGAUACCAGAUUUUGGCCAUGUUCACAGAUUUUGUACCCAUUUUCUCAUCAGCAAACGCCAAAAACGUGUCUUUCAGAGUGCUCGCAACCUGCAAAACAUUACAAGAAAGAUAUCGUUGCACACCAAAAAAUGUUGCAUACAUACCUUGAAUGGUUCACUUCGUUCUCUUGCAGCAUUAAGCUUCGCAACUGCUUCAGCGUACCCCGCAGCCUUUGCAUUCACCACUUGCGACGGAGUUGAUAGAAACGGGUUUGGUGCGCGCAUAUCAGGCAAAGCCUUCACCGCAGAAGAGUCGAGAACACCAGAAACACGACUGGCUUGUUUCCCGGGAGUGCCAGAAGAAAGUGGCAAGCGACUCAAGCUAUUCAAAAACUCACGCUUCUCUUUUUGCCAGUCAUCCUGUAGAAAGUUCCGUCAGAUAGCGAAUACUAAAACACGACGUACUUCCAGUGACUUCAUCAUGUAGUCAUCAAAACUUCGAACGUUGUCUCUUUGAGAAUUCAAAAUCGCUGUAAGCAUUGACAUUUCAUGCACCUAAGGCAAGAAAAAAAAACUGUGAAAAAUCAGAAAGAAAUCCGAAGCCAGUAGACCACACCUGCUGUAGAUACUCCUCCACGGUCGUCGCUUCCACAGGGAAAACAUCUUCGAAGCUUGUCUAUGGAGAGAAAGAAAAGAAAAACAAUCAGCUCUAAACGAAAAGUCUCAGUCGCCAAACCUUGAGCUCAAACGCCUUUAGCUCUCUGGCAAGUUGAUCGGCAUUUAUGCCUUCUCUCGCUAGUAAUCUAUAGCAACACCCAAGCUGCUAAACCAGAAAAGAAAAAUUCCCGCUUACCGAGUAGCGGCAAUAGAUUGGCCAGUGGCAUCGUAGCGAUUCGUCCGGGCCUUAAGCUGGCGCGAGAGAGACUCUAGCUGAUCCAAGCUCCUCUGCGCAAGCAAGAGAGAAGCCCCGAGAAUCAAAAUGCAGGCCACAAACGCAAAGAUUUCUUGCCUGGAGCGGUGGAAAUGGCGCCGCCGGCGCGGCCGAUUGCAGCAGCUGCGACGAGUUCUGGAGAAGAUCCGCCCAGCUGCGCAUGUCCUGAGAACCCCCCGCCAUCGCGAGCGAUAAACCCUAAUGCCGCAAACCCUUAAACAAAUGUUACUUCUUAUUACUUGGAACGAGGAACGAUCACACUCUCUCGACGAGAGACGAGGGCUCUGGACGACAGCCCAGGGAAUAAACCCUGCGAAUCUUUGGGAGGCCAGUGAGCGUCAUAGCCUCCUGGAACGAAGAGCCGCGGAGAAGAAGCCUCGGGACAAAGUUCUUCUUUGACGAGUUUUUGGCCACUUCCACCGCGCCUUUGUUGCUUUCGUUCUCGUCUUUGGAACGUCCCAGCUUUAGCGGCUUCUUUCGACUGUGGAGCAAAGCCACGGCGGUUCCAAACGCUUGGAGCGUCGACAAUGGCUGCUGGAAGCUCACAGAGAAUGUAUCGUCGUCAUAGAGUGGCGACAAUCUGAGAGCUACCUCGUGUUUCUUUGCCUGGCAAACAAACACAAACUUGAGCCACCAAAGAAAAAAACCAAAGCGUGUUUUUGAGCUUACCUGGAGCACUACGUUGAUGCCACCACUUUGUUCUUGAGCAGCCUUUGCCGAGCACCUCAAAGUUUGCUGGUUUUCGAGUAGCACCAAUCCACAACCCAAGUCCCAGCUUCCACAGUCGCAUUUGCCUCCACCCCUCCACCUUUCGAGCAAAGGCAGCGGACCGGGGAGUCCGUAAGCCGGGCAGCCAUGCUCGCCGGCUGGGAGAACCACCGUAAGGCUCAUCUUCUCGUAAGUUUCUUCGACCAAGCCGGGAGCAUUGUUUCUCUUGAGCCUGCUCUCCCAGCUACUAAGUUGGCUGUUGGUGCUGUUCGAUCGCUUCUUCACUCCGAUCGGAACUCUCGUCACCACCGCCGCGACCUCCACAAAACUCGUCCGGCUGGAGAAGCUCCCUCCCGUCUCCGACCCUCUGAACGAGAAAGAGUCGCCUAGCUUUGAGCCUUCCUUUCUGUUGUGCUUGAGAAAUCCAACCGAGGACCAGUGCUUUCCCGGUGUGCCAGACUUCUCCGCUACUCGAGGAGACUCGGACGAGCUGCUCGUGACACAACCGGGUGAUUCGCUCGGCGUUGCGUCCCACGAAGAAAAGCUGAGCCUCCUGCUGGAGCUGACAGCAAGUUGCUGCCGGGGGCUGCUCAUCGCUACUUGAUCUUUCCCACGGGCCUCGAACAGCACAAAGUCCGAGUCCAAGUAAUGUCUGUUCCUCCCGCCGCGAUCCAUCUCGGGAAUCACAGUGCUGAAGAUCUUCAUCUUGCCGAGGACUUCCACCGCCGGCUUGUCUUUCUUUCCCCACUGCCUCCACCCCGAUCGCUCUUUUCCCUUGCACUUGUACGAGGAAAACACGAACACCUGGUCGCAAAGUUCCUGGUCCUCUGAUAUGUCCUGGCUUGCGGUCUUCGCGACGAUCAACUCCUCUGUAUCGUCCAGCCAUAAGUUAUAGCUGAUGUCUCCAUCUUUCGCUAGACACUGAAGAGACCCCUUGACGAACUUGGCCGGCAUGAUCGAAGAACUCCGCUGCUGCUUGAUCGCAAAAGCUUGCUCGGGCAGUAAACGAUGGCGGCUCGCUUUGGACGAAACCAGCACAAGCGACCGGCAUGCUACCUCGGGAAUAAAACUCGCUGCUCUCGCUGUGAAACGCUGCCUUUGGAAGAAUUCCAGUUCCUUCUUCGUAUCCUUCCCAGCAGUAGUAGUGGAUGAUGUCGAUGAUCCUUGGAAGACGUCGAAAGAUUCGGCGCUUCUCGAGCCAUUCCCGGAGGAAUUCUUCUUCUUUGAUCCACUGUUUCGUCUCGAGACUUUCAUGUGAGCGUUGAAGAAAUCAAACUUGCCAAAAACACUGCCAGCUGACUCGGUGCUUGGCGACGAGCAUUCCACGAAAGAGUUUUCCAGCCUCCGCACUGUUCGUCGAAACCGGACGCUCCGCAACGCAUCCAAGUUUCUUGGGUCGUCGUGAUGCGAGCUUCUCUCAUCGCUGCUCGCUACUGCCGAGUGAAAAUCCGGUGAAGAGCUCGGGAGUGGCGAUCGGAACGUCGAGCUGAUCGUCGAGACGGGACUUGGCGGAUGCCGGUGAUCAAACACCGAGAAAGCGUUCGUCCUAGCACGACGGCCCAGCAGCGUACCUUGGGCCCGAUCACUACUCUCGCAGGAAUUGCAGCUCAUCCUGGUAUCAUUCUGCCUCAGCGCUUCCUCCGCCUCCACGAGCACUUGGUCCUCGAGCCUGUCCAGGAUUUGCAAGAGCUCCGAGCACGUCUCUCCUUGCGGCGAACACAUGAUGGCCGAGUUGAAAUUCCUGAGGAUGCGUGCAAACACGGACUGGUUGAUCGCGGGAGAGAUCUCUUUCAGCAGCUUGUUGGCAUUCUCCAGGCAGUGGAUUUCCCCCAAGAACUUGCGCAAGCGAUGCUCCUGGCUUUCUUCUUCUCGCAGCUCGGGCUUCUUACUCGGAGAAAUCACUUCCAUAGCCGGGCCUCAGCUCUCCCAUUUGGCCCCCGAGAAGAAGAAAAGCUCUGGAUUUCCAGGAAUCAUCGCUGCAUCGCAAUGGAAAGAGAGAAAUUUUAGGACCGCUCUGGCAAGAAUGUCGAUCGAAACAGCUUCAGUGCAAGAAACUCGCUAACGCCAUACCUGAUGAUCACUGGAUCGAUCGGAAGAACAAACGCGGGCCCGCCAUAGCUCCCUGGAAGAACUGCCGAGAAGUAAAAUUUUCUCGAUGGAGCUGGAUCAUCGGCGCCAGCGCCAAGCCGGUAUCGGCAUUGCUGCGAUCGCUCGCUCGCUCGCUCGCUCGAUCUACCCUUUUCCCUUUCCCUCCCAAGCGUUUCUUGAAUUCAGGGCAAGGUAAAAAUGCUUGUUACCGCGGAGGUAAAAUCCGUGUCGUCGAGUAGAAACAAUAGAAAAGUCAAGGUGAAAGUGAGCUUGACGGGCAGUGACGCGGCAAUUGACGGCGGCGUGGUUGGGGCGUGGUUGGUUAUAUUCCAGGACGCCGUGAAGAAUCAUUGGCUCCCGGGCAUCACAUGAUAAAAGUGACCGCCCGUCAAGAAGUGAACGUUAAGCUUCUUCACGCCCGUCGGGGUGUCCUUGUAACGAAUUUUUGGGCCGUAUGUGGCCAUCAAAGAUUACGGAUGUGGUACAGUAUAUUGGACCACGGUUAAAUACAAGAUCUAUUUUGGCAGGAUAGUUGCCGCAUUUACGAGCCUGAUAUCUUGCACACGUGGCGAUCUCCCGCCCGUCGACGCUGUUGCCCCAAGAAGUUAAUGGAUAGCAUCGCCAACUUUGAAUGCCACAAGAAAGUUUUUAAUGUUGGUGGAGGCUGAGAAGACUCGAAAGAUUUAAAGGAGUUUAUUUAGAUAGGCAUAGACUGCUUCCAUUCUUCCAUUGCGUCAAAGAUUUUUGGCGUCACUUUGUCAUACUGCGGGGCGGCGGGGACUGUGCGCGUUCGACUCCUCUCGCCAACACCGGCUAAAUUAAACAAAUUUUUUUAAGGUCCUGGGGUCAAUGGCCUGAUUGAUCAUUGCAUGCCUCGACCCUAGAAAAGAACCAUGCAAUUAUAUUAUUUGCAUCGUGGUGGAUUGGAAGGUUAAAAAAACUCGGGAUAGCAACUCUUCGGGAGCUUUAAAUAAGGUUUUGGAGGGAAUUUUUGAUCAUGGGCAAUUUUCGCAGUCACGCAAAGUACCGGAGGCUGACCGGCAUUUUUGGGUAUUUGCAGAGUCAAAAGGAUUAGACUAUACCAGCGAUUCAAAAAAAUUUAAAUCCUUACGUAGAGCUCGACCUAUAAUCUGAGACUGUAAGUACAUACAUUUUCAGCAAAGAAAGCUAUCAUACUGACCCACUGAUCACUGGCUGCAAGAAAAGAGAUCCAUCAUCCAAUCCAAAAAAUGCCCUUUGGGGCACAUUUCCCGCUCCCUUUUCGUUUGAAACAAAGCUGCCGCUCAAAUUCGAAAAUUUUGUCCGGGAAUCUUUCUGUUGGGCGCUGUGCAUUUUAGGGCUGACAACGACGGCCACGAUCGACGGCUCUGAUGGAAGCUCUGUUUCUAGGGCUUGCGAGAUAGGGCUCGAGAGGAGAAAUGCAAGCGCUGAGGGCCACCGUAGCUGCGGCGCGCAACACCAGGCCAUGGAACAAGGCGCAGAUCCGUGAGAUUCAUCCGCGCGAUGCCGAGGUAAGGAGCUUUUCGAUCGAUUGGAAUUUGAUCGAAUAGAUUGAUCGCAAUUGCAGCUCUUGUCCCCGGAUCCAGCCCUCGCUCCUUUCAAGAGCAAUAAACCCACCGCGAAGAAGAUGCAAAUGGUGGGCGAUGCUACAAUUGUUUUGCUAGGACUGGGUAAGUAUCCCAUUUCGUUUUCUUCCAACUGGAGCUUCUCAAUGCCCUUCCUUUUUUUUCCCAGGCUUUCUCUACGAGAUCCACUAUCGAUGGCAGAAGAAAUGCGACGAAGCAAAGGAAUCGACGUAAACUGUGUACAAAUUCUAAAUAAAAAAGAAAAAAAGAGGAAAAACGCUGCUUCACAAGCACUCACUUUUUUUUUUCUCUUCACUGCUACUAGCCUAUGCUAUCAAAAUUUUUUGGACAUCCUCGACUUACAUUUAGAACGAGUUCACCCUCCUCAGCUCCACUCGCCUGGCCUUGGCGUUUUUCUUGGAACGUUUCAGCACCGUCAGCAUGUCUAUCACCUGAGAAAACAAAAACAAUGGUUUUCGAUUUCGAUCGAGAAUCUAGCGUACCUUGGCCCUGUACCUUGCAUCCUCGGCCUAUUACCAUAAACCCAGCGAGAAACCACUCUCUUAGAAGUUAAAACUAAGCAAAGCUUCUCUUU
rnacentral:lncRNA from 1 species